rnacentral:lncRNA from 1 species
CGGGGGGAACUAAUAGGCAACGGGGCGGGGGACAGGGGAGGGGUCCCCCGCCCCAACCCCGCCCCGUUGCCAUCCCUGAUGAUGUGGCAUUUCCUCCGGGUAUUCAGCUGACAUGGCAAAUUUCUUCACGACAACUAAUUUAGGUAUUAAUUAUUGUCUACUCCGAUUUCGUACGUGGGAAAUUUUAAUUAGCCCACGUUAAUUUUGACAUGGACCCACUUUCACAUGAUCAAAUUUAUAACUAAUCAGCUUGCUCAUCUUAUUUAACCCUUAUUAUUGGUGGCUUACUUCAUUUUGAGGACGACAAUCGUCUCAACCUUUGGUUUUUUCCUGUUCUUGGAUAGAAGAAGAGUCUAGAAGCAAAACAAUCAAACAUAAAGGGACUCUACUCUAGAUCAUAUGUUAUCUUUUCUAGCAGUCCAUUAUCAAGCUCUUGUAUUACUUACCUAAAAGAAGGAAUUUCGUGUUUGGUUGAGUGAUAUGUUGUGUUUCCAUUAAUGAACUCGACACAAAGAGGAGUGAUUAAUUAGGGACUAACUAAAGGGAAAGGGAAAAGAAGAUUAAUGUGUUCACCGUUGCCAAAAUUAUGUAAAACCAUAAAGAAAGGGUCAUACAUACUUCAUUUGGUGAAAUUCCCAUUACCAAGCGAUGUUGUCCCUUCUUAUUUUGUGACUAGUUGGGAACUAACUGAAUUUACGUACUUAGGUAAUGCUUUGCUAAUUCACUUAAGAUUUCUUAUUCAUGUCCACCGGAUAUUAGGUUUGGCUCUCGUAUAUAUGUUUCCUUUUAUUGAUUGACGGCAAAUUUCAAUUGUGUGGUACAAGUUUCCAUUAUAAAGUUAGCUAAAUAGUGUGUUAGAUAUUGAUUCUUCUCGAUCUCUUACAAUUGAUAAAGACAUACAACAAUUAGACAGGUUGAUAUGGGAGAGUUGGGUUAAAUGAUAAGAUCGGAGCUUGAAAUUUACAAAAAAAAAAAAAAAAAAAAUCAGGUUGUUGACUGCACAAUUUAUCUGUAUUAAUUAUCUCAUUGAAAUAGAUUGUUCAAGUAGUUUUAUCUAGUAAUGUGAUAUGGUAAAACUCUCUCACUUGGGCCACUACUUAUGUUUGAUGCAUGAAAACAUUUACUUACCACCAAUAUGCAUGCACAAGAAUAUUUCAGCUUCUAUUCGACAAGCUUUCUAUUUCCAUUUAAGUCAGUCAAAGAGUUUGAUCAUCCAAACUAGCAAACGCGUUUUUUCUGAAGGAAAUUAAACCAAUCGAUUUUAGCAUUUAGUGUCUUAAUUCAUUUUUGUAUCUUAUUUGUUAAGUUUUUAUAUUAGAUUAGGAAAUCUCAAAUCAAUUUCCAAAUAAGUUUCGAUCUAUAAUUGUAUUUGUUUUAGGAAGUUUUGGAGUUUUAUAAACAGCACUAGUCUAGUAAGUUAUUAUUUGAAGAGUUGAGUUGAGUUUUGAAAAUAGGUUUGAGAGAAAGCCUUAGAGUUGAGAUUUGUGAGUUGUCAUAAACGAAAGGUUAUUGUUUGAUAUUGUUAUUGUUAAGUUUGAGUUUAAUAAAAUUAUCGAGGAUUUGUUGAGCAUUUAUUUUCCUCCUUUUCCCACAUAUUUUUAUAUGCGUCAAAAUUGCUUUCGCUGUGCGCGUGUGUGCGCGUAUUUUUUCGUGGAUAUGUACUAAAUAAAGCAUCUAUUUUGGGAGAAUAAAUGUCCUCUCAGACUUGAGAAGAGAACAUAUAGCCAUAUAUGCAUCUCAUACACGCCUCAGAAAAAAAUAUAAAAAAAAAGGACAUUAUGCGCCAGUCAGUUAUUCAAGAUUCAUGAUUCGCUGAUUAAUUUAUUCCAGUUCAACUUCAUUACCCCUAAAUUAUCCAAAUUAUCACAUGCACUUAUUAAAGAUAAAGUGGCUAGCUAACACAUACGAAGCUUCAAUGAUCAAAGAAUAAUGCCUCUUUAGGAAUAAAAGAAGGCAUCAUAAUUGAAAUCCUCAAUGACUGGUGGCUAAUAUUAGUCCAGGUUACGAAGUUGUAUAGCUUUGGAAUCAGACAUUAUUCAGUGAUAAGGCCCUUUUCUUCCUCAUGCACUUGUUGAAUACUCAAUGGAAUCAAGGCAUUUAAGCUAAGAUCAAUUCUUCAUCCGAACUUUUUUGUUUUUGGACGAGUGGAUAAUGUGAUAAAAACCUCUAGAAUCAUGUAUCACACAUAAACGUGGUUAAAGACUGUGCCCUAUUUGGAUUGCUGCUUUUUUUACAGAAGUUUUUUUUUACGUUUGUUGUGAAUACAUUUAUCAAUUAUUAUUUUUUACCUCACAUAUACUAACUCGAUAUAACAUAUAUAUAUUUUUUUUAUAAAAAUUCUUACAAAGAGAAAUCUUGCUUUAACAUUGGAAAAGAUAUAAAUGUCAGACUAGACAAGUGAUGAGUACUUAGUUUAAAGACGACAGAGGAGGUUUAAAAUUUCAUUAAGAAAAUUUGUAGAAGGUGAAAAGUCACAAUCAAGAAGUUUUAAAUGAUGCACUUAACAAGUUGAUACCUCAACAAAUUACACUUUUUGCUUAUUUAGGUAACUAAAGUACUAUCCUUAUUCAACUCUUACUUCUGCUUAAACUGUACAAAACUAUUAUAUAUUACUCAAGAAAAAAAAGAAAGACAGCUUAAUAGCAGAUGGUGUAAAACUAUAAUAUGAUGAUGAAAAAUGUGUGGUUCACUAAUUUAGGACCAUUCCAAGUAAGUGCCUCCAUUUAUCAGAGUUUCAGUAUAUAUCUCAACACCAAUUGAACUAAAAUAUUUUAGUUAGAUGCUAAAACAUUCAUUAAACAGCUGGAAUGGACGCUGUUCAUUUGUUAAAGCUACCAAGAUUUUGAAUUUUCUAUAACCUUUAAUCUUCGCCACAUAAAACAAAAAAAAAAAUAAAAAUUCUGCAUGUGAAUUAUUUCCACCAAUUGUCUCCAAUAAUUUCCAAGAAAAUAAAAUCUUGUCGACUUAAUUUCUUGUUUUGAUCAGUCCAAUUAGAAUUUUUUCCCCCUAAUUCCUAUUCCCUAAACACAUAAAAAAAAGUGUGUUCCUUUCCCUUGGCUUUUACUUAAUAUGAGAGCAUUUGUUUUAGCUGCAAUUUGGAAACCAAAAAAAGUACACAAAAAUGAACAUAGACAUAGGUGGCAUGAAGUUACAAAAACUCAAGGAAAUGGAAAAAGAAAAGGCAAAAAAAAAAAAAGAAGAAGAAGAGAAUUUCAAACAGAAAAAGAUAAUUGCAAGCCAUCAUUCAUAUCCAAUUGCACAUAAUAACUCCAAGUUAGCAAUCAAAUUUGGUCAGUAAACAGAGGUCCGCAUCCAAUUGCUGAUCACAUCAAACUCCCCAACUUGCUCCUGACCUGCUGAUUCAUAAAUACAAACUUGCGCAAUUCUGCAGCCACUCUCUGCACAGUAAACUGCAACAGGGCUCUCAAUAAUUGACAGAUUCAUUACUAUGACGUACGCGGUACGCCCUUUGUCUCGCUUUCAUGGUCUUGAAUUUUGUUCACACAGUACGAGAAAAAUUACUUACUCCGACUCACUUUAAUAAUUUUAUUUUUAUUUUUCAUCUGUUUUAAAUUAUGAUUCACUUUUCAAUUGAAAAAUAUCGUUAACUUAUAACUUAUUUAAAAUAUUUUUAUUUUAAUUUACAUUAUGCAUUAAUUGCCUUGAAUAGUGCAACUUUUCAUAAUAUUAUUGUUUUUGUUAUUAAUGUAAAGGUAUAAUGAUUAAUCAUACUCUUAAUAUUAAUGUAAGGAUAUUUAAAAAAAAAACAAUAGGCUAGACUUACAAUUCCAACAAAGUUAAUUAAUUUUUUUUAAAGUGUGUGAAACAAAAAAAAAUCUAAUAUGGGAUAGAGAGAAUAGUUAACUUUAUUGAAAAAAUAAAUCUAAUAUACUGUUUUUCUAAAAUAUCUCGCACUAAUAUUGGGAGUAUGAUUAGUCAUUAUACCUUUAUAUUAAUUACAAUAAUAACACUGAUGAAAAGUUUCAUCAUUCAAGAUAUGAAUUAGGGCAAUUAUUGAAUAAAAUAAGUUAUAUUCAAUGAUAAGAAAGUACAUAAGAUAAAGGUAUUUUAGAAAAAUUAAAAGUUAAUUAUGUUUUUCAAUUGAAAUGUGAAUUAUAAUUUGUGACGGAUAACAAAAUAAAAUAAAACUAUCAAAGUGGGAUAAAAGAUGUAAUGUAUAUGCAUCGUAACGUGCAAUUGACUAUGAAUUAGUCUUUCUUACACUACACAUUAAUACAUAUAUUAACGGAUCAUCACCACGUAUGUGUAGGUUGUGUUUGGAUUGCAUUUUCCGUCAUUUUUUAUGGAAAAAUUACUGUAGCGAUUUGAUAUAUGUGAGGGAAAAAGGUGAUAGGAAAAUGUGAUCACGGAAAACGACAAUAUUUUCCAACGGAAACAAGCAAUCCAAACAAGGAAAUUCAAUCUCAAAUUGAGAUUUUUUUUCUCACGUAACUAAAUUAGAAGAUGUAUACACUAUUAAUGUAAAUUUAGAUUAAUUCAUAAUUAGUAUAAAUAUUAAUUAUAAAAAUAGUAUAAAGCAUCUAAAGUUAAAAAAAAUACUUUUUAUGCUAUCGAGUAAUCACUUUUUUUGUUAUCCAUGGUGGAGACAAUCAUGAAAAAAAAAGAUAAACUAAAAAUAGUAAUCAAAACAAAUAAAAAAAGAUAAACUAAAAAUACUAAUUAAGAUACUAUUAAGCACUAGUAACAGUGGUACACGUGUCAACACCUAACUAGCUUUCCUGGGGAAGCUUGUUCGACAUUUACCACCAAGGAGGACUAUAAAAACCUCCCCAACUCUUUCAUCGAGUCACCCCAUUGUUAAAGAGCAUUCUAAUUCUACCGGGCUCUGGCUACAUCUGCUUCUCUUUUUCUUUGUCCUUCUCAAAAGAAGCUCGCAUUCCCGUCUGGAGUGCACUUCUGCUGAGCAAAUUUCUUCGUCUUGAAACUUUGAAUUUCCAUCUUGAUCAACCAAGCUUCAACAGAGGAAAGCUUUUUAAGGUGAGUUUUUGGGAUUCUUUUUGAGUGGAGAAAUAGUACUACAAAUUGACUUGGUGAGAUAAGAUGCCAGUGAGAUUUUCUAGACAUGAUUUUAUGGCGUCUGAGUUGAUUCUUUUGAGCUGUUUGGAUUACAGUUGUUUGUUCUGUGCAUGUUUAUGCAUGAAAAGGGCCGAAAGUUUACUAGGAAAAAUUACCCAAGUGUUCAUUUUCAUGUUUUCCCUUUUCGCAGGAAUCUUAAACACCUAGGAUUUGAAAAUGUUUGAUAACUUCAAAAUCCCACCUGCUAUAUAUGGUUCAAUUUGAAUUUCUAGGAUUAGCUAGUGAUUCUUGCCUCCUCCUGUGUUGGAAAAUCUAUACAAAGUUUUCAGAAAGUAGAUAUUUUUUAAUCUUAUAUUGUCUGAGAUCUUAAUUUCUGUGGGAAGAACAAACCUCCAGAGAAUUUCCUCUUUCUCUGAAGAAAAUUUUACUGUAAAUGGUUCUUCGUUGGGCUAGCGUUUUACCUUCGGUUCGAUCUUCAGCUCGAAGUUUUUUCUUUGGGAAGAUAUUAAGAUGUUCAAGAGGUGAUUUAGAUGAAUAUUCCCACUUUAAUUCUUUCUAUUUCUUUUUCUCAAUUUUCGCGCAGAAAUUUUAAAUUUCGGGAGUAGUUUGGAUGAUUUGACUAGUAUGCCCUUUUAUUCUCUUCGAAUUUACCGUUCCUACCAUGGUUUUUUCAGCAACUAGUAGAAUAUUACCCUGCUAUGAAUCCUCAGCUCCAGCUUUGAUUUUAACUUUUAAAGGAGCAGUUGAGGUUAAACCGCCGUCGUUCUGAUCGGAGAGUUUUGUCGCUACUCGACGGUGAACAACCUAUAUACUAAUUAUUUAACUUAUUUGACGAAAUUACCCUUGGAUUCUUUCAUAUUUUCCUCCUCAACCACUGCUUGAAUAUUCUUUACAGUUCAUUUUAGUUGGCAUCAGCGGAUCUUUCCAGUUUUAGUAGAUUCGGAUGUUUUUACAGCGUUUCAUUGACAAAAAUGCCCUUGCUCUCUAGUCAAAUUUUCUCUUCUUACCACUCCCAUCAAAAGUGCAAAAUGAUUUGUUUGUCAUCACUCCAGUGGGAAUAUUCUCUAUUUUGGCCGCCUUUAAUUCACAUAUUCCUAUUUUCACAAGCUGUUUGCUCCAAUAAAAAGGCCUUUUUGUCACCUUAUUUUACUACUUUUAUUCGUGCUCUUGUUAUUUUCAAGAAAAAGGUCCGUCUUUGUUUUCUACUGAUGGAAAAAAUUUUUAGUUUGGACCCUCAACUUUGUUGUAUCAUUAUUGCUUUUUAGUCCAACCGUGGCGGUAGAUAAUGUCGACGUCGCCGUGUCGGCUUGGCGCCUGAUUCGUUAGCCAGGCGGUAAAGUUUGACCGGCUCACUUGGCUGCGGCUACAAUCAUAUCUUGACAUGAUCAAAUUGAGUUAAUAUAAGAUGAACUUGUAAUAGCUAUAGAUAAUCAAGAUAAAAGUCCUUAAGGCAAGUAUUUAUCUUUGCUGUUUGUUGCAUUUGAGAUGCUUAGUUGUUGCUUGAACUUAUGUGAUGAUCUGAAGUAGUUAGUCAUGAUGUCUGCUCUAUGCUCGCUCUAUGUUUGUUGCUAGAGCUUAUGUGCUGGUUGUGAUGAUGCAGUUUAUAGUGAAGAAGCAUCCAAGUUGGUGAAAAUGACGGUCACACCAAAAAUCUCCAUCAACAACGGGGACCUUGUGGUUCAUGGAAAGACCAUACUCACGGGAGUCCCUGACAACAUUGUGCUGACUCCUGGAUCAGGUGUGGGACUUUUGGAGGGUACUUUUCUUGGUGCCACAGCUGAACACAGCAAAAGCUUGCAUGUUUUCCCAGUUGGGGGAUUAGAGUAAGCACCCAAAUCCUCUUGAAUUUGUUGGUAGUGGAUGAAAGUUCGAUGUUCAGCUUGUAGGAACACAUUGUUCUGGAUUGUUAAUCCUUGCAUGUGUCAUACCAACAUGUUAUUUCUUUUUGGAAUAUUAGGUAAAAACCUAAUCAAGUUGUACUGGUCAAGAAAUCGGGCUAAUUAACUCGUUAUUACUGAUGCUUUCUUUGGUGCUUGUUUCUAGUUUUGAAUCCGGUUGUAGAAAUCCAAAGAAUACUUUAAUUUGUACAUGGAAAAGUAGUUAAUCUUUAAUCUCUAAUUAGUUUGAGGUAUCAAGCUGAGCCAUGUGCUAAUCCCUAAUUGUAAUUUAACACUUAUUUCUGGUUCUGCUACUGUCUUAACCUUUUGAAGUAGCUAUGUACCAGGAAGUUGAACGGGUAGGAGAAAUAUGUGCAUCACUGAUUAUUCAAUGUAGCAUAGUAAAUGUUGUGGAGGAUGACCAUUUUUUUUUUUUUUUCAAAACGUUUUGUAUGCCUAUAAUCUCUGAUGAUUGUCUUAUGUUUUCGAGAUAUGUACAUAUCUUUAUAAUUUGCUUCUUUGGUAGGGGGCUCCGCUUCAUGUGCUGCUUCCGGUUCAAGCUGUGGUGGAUGACUCAGAGAAUGGGAUCAUGUGGGAAGGACAUUCCUUUGGAGACACAGUUUAUGCUUGUGGAGAGCAAAGACACGACAGAAGGCGAGCGUGAGGAUGCCCCCCUCAUCUACACUGUGUUCCUCCCUCUCCUUGAAGGCCAGUUCCGAGCUGCCCUUCAAGGAAAUGAGAAGAAUGAACUAGAGAUCUGCCUUGAGAGUGGUGAGUAGGCUCAGGCCAUCCCAAAGUAUUUGGUGUAGGAUACAUGUUUGCUGCUUUGCCUAUCUUGUGAGGCCGUAUCUUCAAUUAAGCCAGAACCAUCCCUUCAUCAUCAAAUGGGGACCAAGUCCACUGUGCUCUGACAUGACCAAGCUGGAGAAACCAAUUAGAUCUUGUCAUCUAAUGAAUCAAUAAUGGAGUUAAUAAAAUUUGGGAACAUAUCUUAGAAAAGAAAGAGUUCGAAAGAACCAAAACGACCUUGUUUUUGUGGUAUGGUUGUUGCAGGAGAUCAUGCUGUUGAAACCAACCAAGGACUUUACCUUGUCUACAUUCAUGCUGGGACCAAUCCUUUUGAAGUCAUCAACCAGGCUGUAAAGUACGUCCUCACUUCUCCUUGUCCACUUUUCUAUUCAUGCUGGUCCUCCAAUGCCUGUGGCCCCUUCCCGUGGGGUGUGGGUCGAGAAGCAUUUGGAGCUUGACUCCAUGUUAUCAUAAAACAACCAUGGUGUCUUCAUAGUUGAAUUUUCCACAACUGAAUUACCAUUUCCUGACUGACAAUAAUAUUCUUCUUUUCUUAUUAUAAAUAGAGCUGUAGAGAAGCACAUGCAAACUUUUCACCACCGAGAGAGGAAAAAAGUAAGCAAAGUUUUUCUCGUCUUUGUCUUGUAGUUGGAGUAAAUUGGAAUUCAAAUCUUAUGUUUGGUGGGUUGUUUUGUAGCUCCCCUCAUUCCUCGACUGGUUUGGUUGGUGCACAUGGGAUGCAUUUUACACUGAUGUCACAGCUGAGGGUGUUGAGGAAGGCCUUACAAGGUGAAACAUGAAUCUAACUUUCGUUUGCUCUUCCGAACUGAUGUUCAGUGGAGAUGAAUUGCUAAUUUUUUGUGGUUAUCUUUGCAGCUUGUCUGAAGGUGGCACUCCUCCUCGUUUCCUAAUUGUGGAUGAUGGUUGGCAACAGAUUGGUCAAGUGAAGGAUACCAAUUGCGUAGUGCAGGAAGGAGCUCAGUAAGUUUUGUUCUUUAUUGCUUUGUCCAGUAUAAGUUUUGGUUGCGUGGUAGUCAUUUCAAUUAAGCUGAGAAAGCGUUUUAUAUAGGCGGUAUCACACUAUGCUUCUUAGUAGAGAUCAAACAAACUGACUGUGGAGAUUAGUAAAUUUUCUUUGCAGCAGCAAAUGUGGUUAAAUCACUUAAGAUAUGAACCAUACUCUGGUUGCCCCUGUUAUGGUAUGAGUGGCCUUAAUCUAUUCUUGGUUCGCAUCCUUGUUUCUGAAUUCACAUCAACAGACACAUUGCACCCCACCCAACCAACUCGCCCCCCCUCCCCCCACCCACAACAACAAAACCAACAAAAGAAAAAAAGCACUGAAGAUAUGAUAAUUCGUCUAGAAGAGGGGUUAUGGACUGACUUUAAGCAAAAAUCUUUAGGUACCUUUGUAACUUCUGACUUCUGUAAAAUAUGCUUAACACAGUUUUUUCUGCAGAUUUGCAAACAGACUCACAGGCAUAAAGGAAAAUGAGAAAUUCCAGAAGAAUGGUGAAAGUCAGGUUGGCCUGAAGCAGCUCGUUCAAGACGCCAAGCAGGGCCAUGAUGUCAAGUAAGUUCAACCGGUUUUCUUUUUUUCCUAUAUAAUGUUUUCUCAAUCUCUCUUGAGAGCUAAGAUACCCUAUGGUGCAAUUGCAUCGUACUUGGUUAGAAAUAAGGCACUUUCUUCUGUAUCUCUGGGUGUCCUUAUCCUUGCAUACAUACUUUCUUUCUUAAAGAAAGUGUUAUCAGCUCUUAUUUCUUGUCUUCUUAUUUCAUUUCUUCUUUGUUACAUUUUUCCUUUGUAGUUCUUCUAUGUAAAUGGCAAUGCAUGCAAUCAUUUUCCUUUUUACCUAAAAACAAUUCUGGCAAGUACAUGAAAUUAUCUUUUGAUGGUCUUCUAGACUGUUGAAGAAAUAUGUCUGGCCAUGUUUCCAUACACAAGUUUAUACAGUUGCUUAAUUUAUUGGAUGCUGUUUACUCAGUCUAUUUCUAAUAUGGUGCAGGUACGUCUAUGUGUGGCAUGCUCUAGCAGGUUACUGGGGUGGAGUACAACCAGCUGGUGCAGGCUUGGAGCACUAUGACUCUGCUUUGGCAUACCCCGUGUCAUCUCCAGGUGUGAUGGGUAACCAACCAGAUAUAGUCAUGGAUAGUCUUGCUGUCCAUGGUUUGGGUCUGGUCCACCCAAAGAAGGUGUUCAACUUCUAUAAUGAGCUUCAUUCAUACCUGGCUUCUUGUGGAGUAGAUGGUGUUAAAGUUGAUGUGCAGAACAUUAUUGAGACCCUCGGUGCUGGCCAUGGUGGUAGAGUUUCUCUGACUCGCAGCUAUCACCAGGCCCUUGAAGCUUCUGUGGCACGGAACUUCCCUGACAAUGGAUGUAUUGCCUGCAUGUGUCAUAAUACUGAUGGGAUCUACAAUGCCAAGCAGACUGCUGUUGUCAGAGCUUCUGAUGACUUUUACCCUCGUGACCCUGCUUCCCACACCAUACACAUUUCAUCUGUUGCCUACAACUCUUUAUUCCUUGGAGAAUUCAUGCAACCUGAUUGGGAUAUGUUCCAUGUGAGUAUUAUGCUAAGUUAAAUCUCUCUCCAGUUAAAGAUUGGCAGAUGAGAAGCUGAUAAAUGAACUCUUACUGUCUUACACAUCAUUACCAUGUAACCAACUGCAAUACUGAUGACAAUCUGUGAUGCAGAGCUUACACCCUGCUGCCGACUACCAUGCUGCAGCUCGAGCUGUUGGAGGAUGUGCAAUCUAUGUCAGGUAAAUACUUGUGUCCUCACCUGAAUCAUCAUUCUGGUUUCAUUAAUUUUUAGGACCUAUGUGUUAAUGCUCAUGUUGUCUUUCGAUAUUCAGUGACAAGCCUGGCAAUCACAACUUUGAGCUUUUGAAGAAGCUGGUCCUACCUGAUGGUUCUGUCCUUCGGGCACAGUUGCCUGGGCGGCCUACACGUGACUGCCUCUUUGUUGAUCCAGCCAGAGAUGGGAAAAGGUUUGCUAUUCGAUCUGAACAUUUUAUUAUACCCAGAAUCAUGCAGUAUUAUUUAUUACAAGUAAUAUUUACUUCAAAAAAAAAAAAAAAAAUAAUGCAGCUUGCUUAAGAUUUGGAAUGUGAACAAAUGCACUGGUGUUGUUGGUGUUUUCAACUGCCAAGGUGCUGGUUGGUGCAAAAUCACAAAGAAGACACGUAUCCAUGAUGCUUCUCCUGGCACCCUUACUGGUUCUGUUCAAGCCAGUGAUGUUGACCCCAUAUCUCAAAUUGCUGGCCCAAACUGGGAUGGGGAAACAGUAGUCUAUGCCCAAAGAUCAGGUACUUGGCUUUUUUAUCCAUUGUUCGUUUUCACCACCUUAUUUUCCCUUAACAAUCAAUUGUAAACCUGACUCUGAGAAUAAUCCUUGAACUGAAACGCAGGGGAGGUAAUGCGGCUACCAAAAGGUGCUUCUCUUCCUGUGACACUCAAAAUUCUUGAAUAUGAACUCUUCCACUUCUGUCCUGUGAAGGUGAGCCUUCAAAAAGAGUGCAUUUCCUUCUUAAUGAUGCUAUGUACAUUCUAUAUAGUUGGAGAUACCAAUGGAUGAUAAAUCAUGCAGGAAAUUGCUGCAAACAUUUCCUUCGCACCAAUUGGUCUGCUCAACAUGUUCAACAGCGGUGGUGCUGUUGAGCAGUUUGAGGUCCAACCGACUUCAGACAGCAAAGCAGAGAUUUUUGCCGGUGAGGCUACGUCUGAGAUCUCUGGUUCUCUUAGUGAAAAGAGAUCACCAACGGCAAAGAUCAUACUUAAAGUGAGGGGAUGUGGCCCGUUUGGAGCUUACUCUUCUCAGCGCCCGCUAAAAUGCUCAGUGGAUGGUGCUGAGACUGACUUUACCUAUGAAGCGACAACAGGAUUGGUGGCUAUCGACAUUCCAGUUCCAAAGGAGGAGAUGCAUAGAUGGACUAUUGGAAUUGACGUCUAAAUUAGUUGGUUCCAUUAGGUAGGUAGUGGGGGGAAAUCGCUGUUACGAUGGGGAUUCAUGCUUGAGGCUGCCCCUUGUGUUUGGUGACGCAUUAGUUAGACGUAGCUUUCUUAUUGCUGGGGAGAAUGUGGGUGGGCGGGCAGUAAGAGUGAGCCUUGUGUGUGUGGGGGGAAUAAUGAGAAGGGUCCUUGUAUCACUUUCAUUUGCUUUCUAAUAAAACUGCUUUGAUCAUAAGAUCUACACAAGUUGGUGCUAAUUUGAGCAGAGUUCUUUAGCAGUGCCUGUCUUCUACUGCACUGCUCCAAGGAAUGAGUAAUUUUGUCCCCUUGCGGCAAAAGUUGCAGAGGUUGAGCUUUGUUGUGUAUCGUGCAUUUCACCAGUUGAAUGUGGAAGUACAUUUAUGCAAUUGAGUUAAGAAAAUAGUCAUGGCUCAUGAGUAGUUAUUCGCCUACUCUUAACCAAUUUCUUUAGAAGUUUCUUUUGGAUAUAACUUUGCUACUUACAGGUGCAAACAGAGAAACUUUAGUCUAGGACUCUAAGCGCUCGUAUCAUAUCUACACCAUCUAAUUCUGCUUUUUCUGAACAGAAGUCAAACCUUUGAUUCUGUUUAUUUGAGUUUCCAUUUUUGGCUAAUUCUACCUAUAAAGCAUGAAUGUUUCAAUAUCUUUUUUCUAUAUGUCAAGCACUCAAAUCAAUGCUUAGACCUUUACUCUUAGAUAGUGUUUGAAUAAAUUACUUAGAUGUAACAGCAUAAAAGUAUAUGCAUUCAACUUUAUUUUCAUGUUGGUUUUUAUUUAUUUAUUUUUUGAAAUAAUUUUGCAAUUAAAUACGUUAUUACAUAUUUUAUGCUCCUCUUAGGUAAUCUUUUAGCAAAUGAAUGUAUUUUUAUAUUUCAAUGCGUUGGUUUCUAAUCAAUGUACUAGUACUUCGAUAGUAUCUAUCCAAGAAAUUUAAACAAUUUUCCUGUAACAUUCAAAUUUAAAAACAAUAAUUCAAAUUUCUCUACACUAUUUUCUUGUUUAUCAAACACAUACAGGAAAAUUUAGUUUCUUUUUUUUACAUUACUUCACCUCACUUUUCUCGCGAUGCACUUUCUUGCACGACUUUCUUGUCAAACAAACGGAGCCUCAUCGGCCUUGCCAACUUGAGUUUCUACAUGCAAACAUUUCUGCUACAGCCAACCACCGAAGCUAGGUAAGUAGUCACUAAUAAACUCUUCCAAGUGCCAGAUUCAGGGAUGGGUGAUAGAACAAAACAGCUUCUUUAUGGGCUAAUAUAAAGGCGUUAUAUAUAUUGCCAAGACAAGCACGCCUUGGAAAGCCAGCCUUGGAGGAAUUGCUGUUCAAAUCGCGCCAGCUUGUAUGUUUCCUGCUGUUGAAGGCGCAUACAUGAUUGACAUAGAAAACUCGCGCUUUCAGAAACUAUCAAACUCCCAUUACCUAAAGUAGUUGAAACCGUAUGCAAACUCACGCGCUUAAAAUUCAAAAAUCAGGAUUCUCAAUAGGGAUAAUAUUAGAAACCUCCCUUGAGGUUUUUCUUAAUAUCACUUAGCACCCUAAGAUUUUAAAAAUAUCACUUUUCUCCCCUUGUAAUUGCAAAAUGACUAUAUUAACCCUCACUUGAUACAUAAUUCACAUAUUAAAUAAAUAAAUGGAGCUUAAAAAAUUAAAGAAAAAGAAACAAAAGUCACUUCUUCUUUUUCCCAUUUCUCCAACGCUCUCUUUUACUCAUUUUUUUAUAUGACUAUGUAUUUUUUUGGUUGUAAAUUAUGGUAAAUUGAAUUUUGGUUAUCUUUUUCUUUUUUGUGAUUAUGAUAAAAUGUUGUAUGUUUUCUUUAUUUAUUUUGAGUUGAUCUUUAUAAUGAUUUAAUACAACUUAAAGGCUUGGACCAACAGUUGAGAGGAGGUCGGGGAAAAAAGGGUUCACAAGAAAUCGAUUUUAAAUUUAUAGAGUUGAAUUGGUGUUGACGUAUUUCUUUACAAAUAUUUUUUAUUUUCUAAAUUUGUAUUUUUAUGGACUAUAGCUUUAAAAUGUAAUGGUACUAUUAGAGUUUGUUUUUUAGUUAAUAGUUUUUCUUGAAGUAAACAAAGUGGUUUAGGAGAAAAGGGCAGUUUAGGAUUUUUGUUAAAAAAUUUUGUUCCACAAAUAAUGAAAGUAUGGGUGGUAAGUGACAUUUUAAAAUUUUCUAAAUGAUAUUAAAAGAAACCUCAAGAGAGUUUCUCGUAUUAUCCCUUCUGAAUGUCCGCUAACCAAAUGCACAAGUUCUGCUGCCUUUAGAGCAUGAUUGAUUUAGAUAUGGGAAUCACAUCUAACCUUCUAUUUCGUCUCUCAAGUUUCGAUCUUAUACUGUUGUUUCAAGUAAUUUCUUUGUUUAAAGAUUUUAAAAACUUGCUUGUGUCUUGAUAAAUUUAUGUUUUUCUGAUUAGCAAGAUUAAACUUGUAUUUGGUUUUACAAACAAUUAUUCUCUUCCUAUUUGUUAGUAGCAAAUAAUGGAACCUUAUGUUUUCUUGAAUAAUUUUUUGGCACUAAAUGUUCAUCCCUCUUUUGGGUUUGAGGAUUUAGUAUGGGUUGUAAGGUAGCUAGUGUUGAAGAGAUUAAACAAACUUGAAUUUCUAUCAAAAUUUAAAGGGUAAAUUAUAUAUGACCUCUUGUAAUUAUGCAUAAUGUCAGAUGACCUUUCUAAAGUUUUAAAAUAGUCAUAUAAUCCCCUAUAAUUUUAUAUAAAGUAGAAAAUGAACGGAAUGCAUAAUUAGUCACAACGAUUAAACCACUUACUCUCCAAAAGUGCGUGUCAUGAAAUCAUAUUGUCCACUUAACUCCCUAUAAUUUGUAUAAAUAUCUACUUUGCUCCUAUUAUUUUUUUGUAUUUAUCCACGUAAUCUCUUAUGAUUUUGUAAAGGUGGUUAAGUCAUUUGAUUUAUCAUUUAAGUAAGGACACUACUGGUAUUUCAACUAAUAACGUUAUAUAGGUUAUUUUUUCGUUAGAUUUUUAGUUUAUAUGAAACCAUGGCGGGGUGAAGUAGAUAUAUUAAAAUGUUAGGGAGGUCAUGUAACAAUAGAUGAAACUAUAGGGGAUUAUUAGUAAUUCACCCAAAUUUAAAUGAAGGAAGAUAUGCUGAAUAUAAAGAUCAGUAAAUCAAGCUGCAAGAGAUAGGUAAUCAAAUGCAUUAAGUUAAAAAUGUUGGGUGAGAAUCGUGAGAUGGGGAUUUCGAAAGCAUCAGUUUCUAUCUUGCAUUAUUAAUCUUAUUCGAUUGCUAAGUCAAGAAAAAUGCUGCAAUGUGGUUCUUGAUUGGGAUUGAAGAGGCAGUUACGAAUUCUAACUUGACACAUCAAGUACUGCUCUUGCAAUAUUCAAAUUCAAGCUCUACAAGAAAAGGAAAAAACAAAAAAGCAGAAUAUUUUGGACUUCUUGCGGAAAGAUAUAUGCUGUUCUUGUUCAAUACUUUUACUCUUAUAGCUACAAUACUUAUAGAUUACAAAUUCACACUAUCAACACCAAUUUGGUAUCAGAUUUAAAGCUUGUGGAAAAUUCUGACAAAUAGUAACAGCGCUGGCUCUUUCAUUUAUGAAGUUUAUGUACAUAGUAUACAUAGGACUGCUUUACUAAAAUUACAUGAUUUAAAAGGAGUAACAUUGACAAACCAAUACUAAACAACUGGAAUAAUCAAGAGCCACUGGAAUAAUCAAGAGCCACUGGAAUAAUCAAGAGUGAGAUUCACCCCAUACUUAAGCAGUUGGAUAGGAAGAAUCCAUAGCAAUGCCACAGAGGCCUUCUUUGGCAGAAAUGCCACGUUGCAUCCUUAUGUAUCCACUCUCACCCCAGCUUGUGCCCCAUGAGUUCUUUACCAGCCAAUAUUUGGUACCAUUAGAGGCCUUGCCAUAUCCUACAGCAGUAACACCAUGGUCUAGAUCAGUUCCACAGUCUCCAGUAAAAACUCCACUUGUAUAGAAUUGGAAAGCCAUGCCACUCGCAUCGAUGGAAACUGAAACUGGUUGAUUAGCCACCGCUUUCAAUAAUGCUGCCUCAUUGUUUGCAGGUACCUUUUCAUAACCUGCGAUUUUGGCUGCGUGAGAAGCUUCUUUAGUUUUGCUGCAAGUUCCAUCAGCUGCUGUGUAGGGGUAAGUUGCUUCAGAGGCAAUUCCUUUGUUUUUCACUAUGAAUGCAAAGGCAUCUUCCAUUUCUCCACCGUUGCAUCCCUGAUCUUGACUUGUUCUGUCACAAUCCACUAUUUCUUGCUCAGAGAGUGAUGUCAACUUUCCUGUACUGAGUUUGGUAAUUCCUUCAGUGGCUGCAAUUGCUGAGAAUGCCCAGCAACUUCCUGUGAAUCAGGAGCAUAGUGUAUGAGAAGUCUUAUCACUUUCAAAUGAUCACUAAUUCUGCAAUUAUUUAAGAAUGCUAGUACUAGUCCAUUUGUAUACAUUGCGUAGCCGUCUUACCACAUUGUCCUUGAUCCUUAAUUGGAGUGACUGCACCUUUUUUCCUCCAGUCCAUGGUGGCAGGCACAGCAGUCACAUUUUCAUACUUGAAAGAUGCACCUCUGAUCAACUUAAGUGAGGAGGAAGCUUUAAAUCCAUUACGCGAGGCUUUGAAUUCCUCAUUGGUAAGGUCUGCAAAUUGAUUGACACCAAGCUUGUAAGGCCGCUUUCCAGCCUGGUUAAAAGCUUCGAUGAACUCUACAUUUUUCUUGAAUAUCUGGAAUCGCCUUUCCUUCUCUGCAUCGUCGGUGUAUACACGGCCAUGGAGACUCAUCCACUGCUCAUGUCUCUCUACCAUGGCCUCAUCGUUUAGUGUGCGUAAUGCCACAGAUUGAAUUGCCAACAAUCCCAAAAGGAACAAGAAAGCAAUCACCGUUUUCAUUUUCAAAGAUGAAGUCGUUGUACAAGUGUUGGUUUCUUGAAUAUGUGCUUUAGUGAUUGGUGCUAGGUUCCUUACAGAGCUUGUUAUAUAUAGAGAGCAGAAGAUGGAUGGGCUACAUUAUGCUCCUUCAACAUUGCUUUUUCCAUGCAAUAUUCUAAUCAGAAGAGAUCCAAAUUCCCAGUUUGCCGGGCAAGCUCUGCAAUGGUGGCUUGUACAACUUAGGUAGGUACCGUACGUAGACGGUGGCUGGUUCAACAAUGUUUGAUGGAAGGCCGAUGUUCCGGAAAACGUUUACAAUAAUCAGGACAUUUUCAGGUGGAGUAUUCUGAGUUCUCUCCUGUCUUUAGCUAACGUCUUUUAACUAAGUUGUCUAUCUCAUUUCCUACAUUCCUUUUGACGUUUGAUUAAUACGUAUUAGGAAAUAUUUGAAAGUCACUACCACUAAAUGUGUCAAAGUUUUGAUUUCUUGGCUGUAAACUUAUGUGAAUUUCAUUUCACUCGAAAACAGUGAGACUAACAAUAACCAUUUUUUGCAUUUAAAAUAGUGAUUGGUGGAUUCAAAAAAUUUCUGACUUUUGUGAGAUGCAAUGGCAUGUUAAACUAGAGAAAAUUAGCUGAUCAUUGCUCAAUGUUAUGCUUGUUACAAAGGCCUCCCAUCUUAUUUUAGCUUAAUUUGCAAUUAGAGUUACCUUUACCAUAAGCAUUUGUAGCUGCUUUUUAUUUUUCAGUUGUUCAUUAAUUAUAAUUGCUCCCGUCAAUAAAUUCUUUUAGAUGCAAACUUCAGAACUAAAAAUCCAUAUUUUGCAAACACACUCUAUUAUGUGGUAACAGAGGACAUCAGAGAACACUAUUAAUUAGAUGUGAUUACUGAAAAAGUUAAUAGAGAGUAAUUAGAAUAAGCCUCACAAGGUUUUUUUUGCUCGUAUUGCAUUAUAAUGUAUAACAAAAAUAUUCAAAUCCUUCUUCAAUAAAUUUCACAAUAGGUCACGUAAAUCAAAGAAAUUAGAGGGGCUAGCGCUAUCUGCCUUAUAUCUACGCUCACCUAAUUGUGCACUAAAUAUGUACCUCGAACUAUAAGCUAUAAUCAACUUGCAAGAUUUGCAAGUACCCUUUACUUGACUUCUUAAUUUGUACCUUUAUCUGAUGAUGAUUUGAUUCCUCAUCAGUCAAAAAGCUACUAUUUUUCUUUUUUCUUUUUUAUUAGGAUGAAAGAUAUCUCAAGAAUUCUAUCCAACCUACAUUGGGUAUUGCUCUUAUAACAACAAAGCUCGAUGCAGAUGACUACUGACCUAACGUAGAAAUAUAAACAAGAAGAUCGAAGCCCUGUAUGAAUUAAUACUUUCUGCGGCUGAUAUGAUUAUAAAGUAAAGCUCAUUUUUAAAAAAAUUUUUUUUUUUUGGAAUUAUAGGCUCCCUUCCCUUUUCUCUCUUCUUUAUGCUUAUGUUCUGUUUUGAGUUUUCUGCAGAAGAUUACUGAUGAGCUGUCAAUUGAGGUCUUUUUUACUGUCCAUGAUUGAAUACACUUAUUUUUUUUCGGGUCUAUAAUUACCUGUCUCAUCGUUCUUUCCUAACUAUCCUUCUCAAUAUAGAUGUUAACUCUCUCGAGGGUUGUUCAAGAAGUAUAAAAUGUUCUAAGUCCUGUGGAAAGGUAUCAACUGGUUCAGAGAAUGCACCAAUGAUAUCAUUUUUUGUCCUCAGCAAAUGAAGUUAUCCUGGAUGGAAAAAGGACUCGAAAAUGGAAACCAAGAAACAAUCAUGAAACUGUUAAAUAGUCUCUGCUUAUUGCUUAAACAGGCUGCACGCAUCAACGCACAUACCGAGUUAAAUACUACUUGUUCGAGUUGAGGAAGGGGCGUUUAAUUUGUAUUUGUUACUCAUUGAUUUUCAAUCAUUGUUUUGGCUUUAUGGGUUUUCUACUAUAAGAGUUAAUACAGCAAUUUAAGUUUGAUAUCAAGUUGAAAAUGAUAUUGAGGAUUCUUGGAGAUGGUCAAAUUGAGCACAUAAUGCUUUAUCAAGGUUUUUAAAUGUAUACAACUACCAUUGAGGAAGAUAUCGGGUACAAGAACUUCCAUUCUUGAAGUUUAUGUACACACUGACUUCUUUACGACAUUUACUUUGAGCAGAGACGAGCCAGCAUCUAACAAACAGAAUCAGCUCAGCCACUCGAGUUAUCAAGAUAAUGAUUCGCCCCUCACUUAAGCAGUUGGGUAGGAAGAAUCCAUGGCAAUUCCACAGAGGCCUUCUUUUGCAGCAAUGCCCCGUUGCAUCCUUAUGUAUCCACUCUCACCCCAGCUUGUGCCCCAUGAGUUCUUUACCAGCCAGUAUUUUGUGUCAUUAGUAGUUCCAUACCCAACGGCAGUAACACCAUGGUCUAGAUCAGUCCCACUGUUUCCAGUGAAGACUCCGCUGCUGUUGAAUUGGAAAUAGAGUAAAAGGGUAAGUCCCCAAGACACUGCUUAAUGGUUGCAAUGCCGCUCUCAACUUCGGAAAGGGACAAGCAGUAUUCUCCAAUAAUCCAAAGAGCGCAAGAACAAACCCGUGCAGCUUGAAUCUGGUAGAACGUGUCAAGCAGCCUGGUGACUAUGGAAACCCUUAAUUUUGGGUUUGUUUCAAUAAUUUCUCGCACGAAAACAACCACAUCCAUUGCAGAAGCAACGUUGCUGUCACCCAAGAAAAUCCAUCAAUAGGUGGACCACAGUGCUUGCAACUUCUGGGAAUUUUAUAGCACAGGAAUGAAUGGCUUGAAUGAGCAUUUGACGGUACUCCCCAUUCUUCUCCAGCUCCCCACUUUGAGUUUUCACAACUUCUUUCUUAAGAGUGAGAACAACCUCAUUGACAUUUCGUGGCGUGAUCAAAUCAAGAACUAUAUCAAGUGUUUUCCUCCGAAUGUCAAGGUUCGGGCUUGAAAGUGCCCUAAGAACAUCCAUUAUCAAAUCAAACAUAAUGUCCCUGUGAGAUGAUUUGAGUUCAUUCAGACGAUCAAGCACAAUAAGUUUGACGUUGUUGUCACUCUGAGACAGAAGAAGCUGGCAGUAGGUAUUGGCAGCAGCCCUGAUAGCCGUAGGAGCAGAAGACAAAGAAACAAGAGUUCCAGCACAUUCAUAAAUAACAGCAGCAGAAGGGGCGUUUAGCAGAGAGAUAAUAAUCUUAAUGUACUUCCCUUUCUCUGCCUUGUUCGUUCUACAGACUUUCCUGACCAACUCCAGGACUACCAUCUGAAGCAACUCUCCCCAGUCUGGUACUCUGAACCAUUAAGCUUCUUUAGUUCUGUUGCAAUUUCCAUCAGCUGCCGUGUAGGGUAAGUGGUUUCGUUGGCAAUGCCUUUGUUUUUCUCAAUGAAUUUAAAGGCACCUUCCAUGAGGCCGCCGUUGCAGCCCGGAUCUUCACUUGUUCUGUCGCAAUCCACUAGUUCUUGCUUAGACAGUGAUAUCAACUUCCCGGUACUCAGUUUUGUAAUCCCCUCAGUUGCUGCAACUGCCGAAAAUGCCCAGCAACUCUCUGCUAAUCAGAAGCAAAUAUAUAUAUAUAUAUAUAUGAAAAACUAAGUAUACCUUUCCUCACAAACCGAUUGGUGUUAAAAUUAAAACACCAGAUAAAUAAUUACUUUGUUCAUACAACCAGAGGGGGCUUAAAUUUUUACCGCAAUGUCCCUGAUCCUUAAUCGGUGUGACUGCACCUUUCUUCCUCCAGUCGACGGUAGCUGGCACUGGAGUCACAUUUUCAUACUUGAAAGGUGUACUUGUGAACAACUUUGGUGAAAAGGGUCUCUUCAGUCCAUUAUGAGUAGCAACAAACUCCUCAUUGGUAAGGUCUGCAAAUUGAUUGAUGCCGAGCUUGUAAGGCUUGUUUCCAGCCUUGUUAAAACCUUCAAUGAACUCUACAUUGUUCUUGAAUAUCGGGGAACGCAUUUCCUUCUCUGCAUCGUCCUUGUAUACGCGUCCAUGGAGCCUCAUCCAUUGUUCAUAUCUCUCCAUCAUUGCCUCUUCGUUUAGCGUGCGUGCUGAACUUUGAGUUGUUAGCAAUCCCAAAAUAAACAAUAAACCAAUAGCUGCUCUCAUUGUGAAUAAUCAAUCUUAAUGUUGCUUCAGCUACUGGUGUUCUAGAGGCCGUCCUGGAGCUAUGUAUAUAUGCAGAGCAGAAGAUGAAUUCGCUUUCUCAUGUAAAAUGUGUUUUCCAUGCAUGUAACAUGAGAAUCUGUCAAGAUUUAGUUAAAAUCUAGGUUUGCCCGGGCAAAUCGUGCUCCGGUGACUUCGAAAAUAUAGCUGGUAGCGGUUCGCAGAUGUUGACUGGUUCCACGAUCAUGUUACUCCAGAGUCAUCAGGCUAAUGUCUUAAUGAAGGUUUUUGAGUUUUCUCGUCUCAAGUAAACAUCUUUUAAUUAGUGCUGGCAGAAUCUUCUAAAAUUUAUGUACGAGGAUUAAUAGGUUUAGAUUUUAAUAUAUUCAUACGUUUUUAAUAAUAAAAAAUAGAAUGUCUUAAUUAAAUAAAUGAUUUGAAUUGUUUAGACGUAUCUUAAUCAAAACAAUAAGUGAUAAACUAACAACUUAUCACUUAGUACAGAAUACAUGCAAAUGUUAAGAAUUCAGUACUUAAUGAUUUAGUAAUUUGAUUCUCUCAAAUUUCAAUUUUAUCAAACGCGCUCUAAGUGUGAAAACAGAUUAAAAUUAGUGAGUUCCUUAUGAUUUCAUCCAAUUGCAUCUUAAAGUAGAGUAAAUUGCACUUGCUAGUUUUAGGUUUAUUUUAACAAUUUUUUUUUUUUUUUUUUUUUUUUUUUGGCUAUAGGAGUACAAGAUUACAAUCAAAACCCAUAAUUGUAACAUUAAGUACAACUAAGGAUAAUUACAUAUGUAGUCCAACUGGCUAACAUUGCAAAUAAAUGGACAAUCCACUCAAAUAGUGAAAAACAACAACCGGCGCAUAAUACUAGAACAAAUUUUAAGAUUCGGAAACGAGCUCCGCUUCUUGGCCCUAGCCAAUUGGGAUAUAACCCAACUGAUUUAUUUUGCCUGGGUUGUCCACCUGAUUUUUAAAGUGGAGAACAAAAUGUGUAUCUUCAUGUAAACUCAUAAAAGAAAGGCAAAAACAAGAAAAAACUUGGCAAGAAAUUUCAAACCAAAAAAAAAAAAAAAUCAAGUACAUAAAACUUUUAAAUUAACUUAGCUACGGAAGGAAGAAAAUCCAAGGCAUAUAGCCUAGGGAAGUUUUAAAAAUACAUGCGUAAUAUUUUGUUAGCUAUCCAAUAGUGAGGUUUAAUUACUCCAUAACAAUAAUGUAAAUGACUAUUAACUUGUCUCUUGGUUUUUUAUUCCCAAAUUCUUUUCCAUCUUAUAGUCAUACCACCAUAACCUCAUCUUCGUAAUUUUUCUAAAGCAAUCUUCAAUCUUUGUAAUUAUUAGUUGUAUAUGCCUGGAAUAGAUUUGAAUUAUAUUUUUAAUAGCUAAGUUUUUUCAAAUAAUAUUCCGUUUGCAAUAUAACACAUUUCCCAGCUCACCUUUUAUAUUCCCUAUCCACCUUUUUAUUUCACAUGCAUCACAUCACAAAAAGUGUUACAGUAAUUAUUUCAAAUAAUACUCUAUCCAAACACACUUAAUUGUUGACAUAAUUUCUUAAUGUAAUACUCUUAACUAUUAACAAUUAAUUUAUCAUAUGAUCUAACCCGCUUUUAUAUAUGCGUUUAAACCAAUUAAUCACUAAUAGAGUUUGCUUUAUCAUAUAAGCAACUAAGAAAUAAACAAGGUACAAUAGAUGUCAUGAGACAACGGAGGAAGGAAAGGAAAAGGAAAACAAAAACAUAGAGAGGCAAAUUAACUAGGCACUUAAAGUUUAAGGAUAUAAAGAUCAUUUUGUCACAUUAUUGAAAUAAAAAAAAAAGAAACCAAUAGUAGUAAACUUCAACUAUUAGUCUUUGGGGAAAAUUGAUGAUAAAUAAAAAUUUGGUGGGACUAUGUGCAUGACACCUCCAACCCUAAGGGGGUUAUGUGCAAUUUAGGCCUCAUAGUAAUAUUGAACUACAAUUUCAAGUACUUGUCAUUGUCAAAUAGUUACCAUCUCCGUACGUUAUUCAACAAGGUUGUCCAAUUCACCAGUCACCACAGCAUAAUUUGUCCGGCAAGCUGAGAAAUUGAACUCUUCCGCUCACACUAUUACAUGAAAACAUCAAUUUUGGAAGGAGCAUCAAUGAGCAUAAGCACCUUCUGCUCUCUCUCUAUAUAUUCCUAGCUCUGCAAUGGACCAAAGCACCAAUAGGCCAAGCAACAUUUUCAAGCCACACAAUCAAUAAAACAAAAUGAAAGUAGUCAUUGGUUUCUUUUUCCUUUUGGGAUUGCUGGCAAUCCAAGGUGCAGCGCGUAACCUGAAUGAUGAGGCCAUGGUAGAGAGAUAUGAGCAGUGGAUGAGCCUCCACGGACGCGUAUACAAGGACAGUGCAGAGAAAGAAAGGCGUUUCAAGAUAUUCAAGGACAAUGUGGAGUUCAUUGAAUCUUUUAAUAGGGCUGGAAACAGGCCUUACAAGCUUGGAAUCAAUCAAUUCGCAGACCUUACCAACGAGGAGUUUGUUGCCUCUCAUAAUGGAUUGAAGAUGUCCUCCUCGCCAAGGCUGUUCAGGAGUACAUCAUUCAAGUACGAAAAUGUGACUGCUGUGCCUGCUACCGUGGACUGGAGGACCAAAGGUGCAGUCACUCCAAUUAAGGAUCAAGGACAAUGUGGUAAUCAAAUUUAAGCCACUCUAUAAUCUUUACAUUACUAUCACAUUCUCAAUUAAUAAAUGAUAGCAGUAAAUCUGAAAAGGGCAUGGUUUUCUCAUAUAUAUAUAUAUUUGUAAUUUGCUUCUGAUUUGCAGGAAGUUGCUGGGCAUUUUCAGCAAUUGCAGCGACUGAAGGGAUUACAAAACUGAGUACCGGUAAGUUGAUUUCACUCUCUGAGCAAGAAAUAGUGGACUGCGACAGAACAAGUCAAGAUCAGGGCUGCAGUGGUGGCUACAUGGAAGAUGCCUUCGAAUUCAUCGUGAAAAACAAAGGCAUUGCCACUGAAACCACUUACCCAUACACGGCAGCUGAUGGAACUUGCAGCAAAACUAAAGAAGCUUCCCACGCAGCCAAGAUCGCUCGUUAUGAAAAGGUGCCCGCCAACAGCGAAGCAGCAUUGUUGAAAGCUGUGGCAAACCAACCAGUUUCUGUUUCCAUCGAUGCUGGUGGGAUGGCAUUCCAAUUCUACUCCAGCGGAGUUUUCACAGGAGAUUGUGGAACGGAUCUAGACCAUGGUGUUACUGCAGUAGGAUAUGGGAAAACUUCUAAUGGUACAAAGUAUUGGUUGGUCAAGAACUCAUGGGGAACAAGCUGGGGUGAGAGUGGAUAUAUAAAGAUGAAACGGGGCAUUACUGCUAAAGAAGGCCUUUGUGGAAUUGCUAUGGAUUCUUCCUACCCUACUGCAUAAAUUGAGGGGCGAAUUUCCAUCUGGAUCGUUGCUAUGGCUUAGCUAAUUCAUCUUGUUAAAUGUUGCCGUGUCUCUCCGCUAAAUUAUGUAAAUAUGAUAAAGCAGUCUUAUCUGUGCAUAAAACUUGAUUGAUGAAAUAUCCCUAUCUUCCCUAAUUCUGUGUAUAUGUCAAAAUCUAUAUCUGAGAUGAUGAAAUCAAACGAAACUUAAAAAAAAAAAAAGAAAAUAAAUUCAUGGUAACACUGCAAGAAAAGUAGUUUGUCUUUGUGACCCCCUUGUGUGUUACAUCUGAAAGAAAGGAUGCCAGCUGGAAUCGUAGUGCCAGGAGUUGUUAUGCCACAUCAGACGGGUGGUUGAGUUAGUUACGCCAUGUCAGCUGUUCUGUUAGGUAGUUAGGAGCCGGAAAUAGAAGGAGUGUGCAGAAAGGGAAAGUUUGGGCAGGAAGGCGGUUAGCUGAAAAUGGAAAGGUUGCGGAAUUAGAAGGCGGUUAGCUGAAGUAGUAUAAAAGCAGUUGUGGGUAUGCGAGGAAGGGUAGUCAGAAGUAUUGUUUCCAAUUGUAUUCAUUCCCAUUCUCUGUUCUUUUUCUCUGCAAUAACAUUUGCUCUCUCACUCGAGUUGUCUUCUCCAAAUUGCAACUCCUGUUUGAGAGUAUUUCCCAGUGAUCUCACUAUCCUCCGUAACAGUGGUAUCAGAGCUGGGGACAGACCAGCUCGCAUAACAAUGGCGGAGGGUACUAGAUCGCAGGAUAACCGAAAGUUUGAGGAGAGCGUCAAAGCCAUGAUGAAGGAGCAGAAGGAGCAGUUCGAGCAAGAGAUGACAGCCCUCAGGAAUUUGGUACUGGAAUUACACUCUCAAAGAGGACAAUCUGCGAGGAACUCACCGUCGGAAAUUGAAGUACCACAGGGGAGAACCUACCAAGUUCCUACGCGUUUUUCUCGGCUGGAAUUUCCUAGAUUCCAUGGGGAAGAUUUCCAGGGAUGGCUGUUCAAGACCGAACAGUUCUUUGAGGUGGAUGAGACACCAGUUCAGAUGAGAGUAAAAAUGGUUGCGAUGAAUUUGGAGGGGAAGGCUCUCCAAUGGCAUCAGAUCUUCAUGCGAUCACGUAUCACGAGAGAUUUACCUGCUUGGGAAGAAUAUAUCAAGGAGAUGGCUUCCAGAUUUGGAGGAUGUUUGUAUGAUGACCCAAUGGGGGAGUUAAAGGCUUUGAAACAAGAAGGUUCAGUCCUGGAGUACCAAGAGCAGUUUGAAGAGCUGCUAAAUAGGGUAGAGCUCCCUGAAGAUUAUGCCACUAGCUGCUUUCUCAGUGGUCUGAAGACUGAGAUCCAGCUAGCGGUCAGGAUGUUUAUGCCUAAAACGCUGCAACAUGCCAGAACCUUAGCUAAAUUGGAGGAGGCCAAAAUUUUGACGCAGCAAAAGAAGGGAGUGGUCAAAACAGGAUUCUUCUCUGGCGGGGAGGAUAGGUGGAGAAGAGAAAGAAACUCUGAAGGAUUAUGGAAGAAGGAGAUCAGCAAUGAUCGACCUUGGAGGAGAGAGGAUAAGGCGUUGCUGCCCACUCCUAGCCAGGAAAAGGGUGAAAAGGCUCCAGAAGGCUACACCAGGAGACCAUUCAAGAGACUGACCUCCACUGAGAUGGACGAAAAGCGAGCAAAAGGUCUUUGUUUCUGGUGUGAUGAAAGAUAUGGAAUUGGCCACAGGUGUAAGAACAGACAGUUUUUUCGAUUGGAGGUAUGCGCAGAAGAUGACUGUGAGGAACUGGAAGUGGAAUCGGAAGAGGAGGGGGAAGCAGUCCAGGGUAACUUAGCUCACAUUUCUUUAAAUGCUAUGACUCUUACUGCUGUCCCUAAGUUUAGAACAAUGAGGGUGACUGGUCACGUAGGAAGGACCCCCGUAAAUAUUUUUAUUGACUGUGGAAGCUCUCACAACUUUGUUCAUCCAGAUUUAAUUAGCAAACUGGGGCUGAGGGUGCAAGAGGUACCAUCUCUUGUAGUGGAGGUAGCUGACGGUAACAAAAUCAACACUAACAGGUUGUGCCCCAACUUCACUUGGAAAAUGCACAAUCAAAUGUUUAAGGUCGAUGCCAUGGUGCUGCCUGUGGGAGGUUGUGAGUUGGUACUGGGGGUGCAGUGGCUGUCGACAUUGGGGGAUAUUAAGUGGAACUUUGGCGAGCUGACAAUGGAAUUUCUGAGGGGGAAAAGGAAGAUAGUGCUACGAGGGAAGGGUCAGCAGGCUAUUCAACUAGUGAAAAGGAGGACCAUGCAGAGAAUACUCCAAAAGCCUGAGCAGGUGGCUUCUGCGCAAUUGUGCUUUAUUGUACCUGUACAGGCAGCAUCAAAGGAGCAAGCAGGCAGCUGUUGUAGGUUGGAGGGGAAUUCUCAGGUAGCAGAUUCUACCUAUGCUCCUGAAGCAAAUGACCUGCAUGAGCUGUUAACGAAGUUUGAGGACAUUUUCGAAGAGCCUUCUGAACUCCCUCCACACCGAAGUCACGACCAUCGAAUCAUACUCAAGGAAGGGACAACACCAGUGAAUGUGAGGCCUUACAGGUACCCUGUCUUCCAGAAAAAUGAAAUUGAAAAAUUGAUUCAGGAAAUGCUACAAGCGGGAGUCAUCAGGCACAGCACAAGUCCUUUUUCUUCCCCUGUAGUUUUGGUCAAGAAGAAGGAUGGCACGUGGAGGAUGUGUAUCGACUAUAGGGAGUUAAAUGCAGCUACUGUGAAGGAUAAGUUUCCCAUACCAGUGGUUGAGGAGCUGAUUGAUGAGUUGUUUGGGUCGCAAUUCUUCACUAAAUUGGAUCUCAGAUCUGGUUAUCAUCAAAUAAGGAUGUGUACUGAGGAUAUUGCCAAAACUGCCUUCAGGACUCAUGAAGGGCAUUAUGAGUUUGUAGUCAUGCCCUUUGGCCUGACCAAUGCACCCUCCACUUUUCAAAGCUUGAUGAAUACUGUAUUUAGGCCUUAUUUGAGGAAGUUCAUAUUGGUUUUUUUUUAUGAUAUUCUUGUGUUUAGUUCAACAUGGUCUGACCACAUUAAACACCUGCAGAUCACUUUCGAUAUCUUAAGGCAACACAGUUUAAAGGUGAAGCAAAGCAAGUGCUCCUUUGCGCAAACACAGGUGGCUUAUUUGGGACAUGUAAUCUCAGGAGAGGGGGUACAGGCAGACCCUCAGAAGGUACGCGCUAUUCAGCAAUGGCCUCUACCCUCUAACCUGAAGGAGUUAAGGGGUUUUUUGGGAUUGGCGGGGUAUUACCGGAGGUUUAUACGAGACUUUGGGAAAUUGGCCAAACCUUUGACGGAUUUGCUAAAAAAGAACAGCUUUGUGUGGACAGAUCAGGCCACAACAGCAUUUUCAGCAUUAAAAAUGGCCAUGAGUUCGCCCCCCCUGCUGGCUCUACCUGACUUCUCCCAGACAUUUGAAGUAGAGACGGAUGCCUCAGGUGAGGGUAUUGGAGCAGUUCUGAGUCAGAAGGGAAGGCCCCUGGCUUACUAUAGUCAGGCUCUGGCCACCAAGCAUAAGGGUCUAUCCGUGUAUGAAAAGGAAAUGCUAGCUAUCGUGAGUGCAGUUCAAAAGUGGAGGCCUUAUCUGUUGGGUAGGCAUUUUGUUAUUAGGACUGACCACCAAAGUCUUAAAUACAUGAUUGAGCAGAGGGUAUCUACACCUAUGCAACAGAAAUGGGUAGCUAAACUUAUGGGGUAUGACUACGAGCUUCACUACAGGAAGGGGGUUGAUAAUGUGGUGGCUGAUGUAUUAUCCAGGCAGCCUCCUAUCAAUACAACCAUAUUAGCUCCCAUUUCAGUCAUUAGAUCAGCUUUGCUCACUGAGAUUCAACAGAGUUGUAAUCAGGACCCCUUGUUGCAGGGCAUUAUCCAGCAGUUGCAAGACCCAACCCGUAGUGCUCAGCUGGUGCAUUAUUCUUAUCAACAUCAGCAACUGAGAAGGAAGGGGAAGUUGGUAGUGGGAAAUGAUCCUGCUUUAAGGCAGAGGCUCAUUCAGUUGUGGCAUGACACCCCUAUUGGAGGGCAUUCAGGUGUGCAGGUGACCUACAAGAAACUUAAAGGGUUGGUGUACUGGAGAAACAUGCAAAAGGAUGUCGAACACUACGUGGCCUCUUGUGAUGUGUGUCAGCGGUAUAAGGGGGAGAAUGUGGCCUAUCCAGGCCUGCUACAGCCAUUAGGCAUUCCAGACCGUGUGUGGUCUGACAUAUCCAUGGAUUUUGUAGAAGGACUGCCUCAGUCGCAUGGGAAGGAUACUGUGCUUGUGGUGGUGGAUCGGCUCAGCAAGUACGCUCAUUUCAUUGCCCUCAAGCAUCCCUACACUGCACUCUCAGUGGCGCAGGCAUUUUUGGAUAACAUCUAUAGGCUCCAUGGCCUCCCUAACACUAUAGUUAGUGAUAGGGACGCAAUUUUCAUUAGUCACUUUUGGAAGGAGUUGUUUCAUCUGUUGAAGGUACAGCUGUGUUUGUCGACGGCUUAUCAUCCUCGGUCAGAUGGCCAGACUGAGGUUGUUAAUCGCUGUUUGGAAGGCUAUCUGAGGUGUAUGAGUAGUGAUCAUCCCAAGCAAUGGUGUUUUUGGUUACCCCUGGCAGAGUUCUGGUACAAUACGAACUUUCACUCCGCUAUCCAGACCACACCAUAUGAGGUCCUCUAUGGUCAGCCACCACCCUUACACAUCCCUUACAUGCCGGGUACGUCUUCUGUUGAUAGUGUGGACAGGAGCCUGGCUGCAAGAGAGGCUACUCUACACUUGCUGAAACACAACUUGCAAAAAACUCAGCAUCGCAUGAAGCAGCAGGCUGACCAUCACCGAUCCAAGAGGGUCUUUGAGCCAGGAGAUUGGGUCUAUGUUAAGCUCCAACCAUAUAGGCAGCAUUCACUCAGGAAUCACUCUUGCCAGAAGCUGUCUCCACGGUAUUUUGGUCCCUUCUUGGUUCUGGCCAAGGUUGGUUCAGUGGCCUACACACUCCAACUUCCUCCAGAUGUCAAGAUACAUUCUACCUUUCAUGUUUCCCUUCUGAAGAGACAUGUAGGGGAUCACCCUGUGCAACAACACAUUCCUACUCGUGUCACUGAUCAGGGUCAGCUACUCAUGGAGCCAAUUGCUAUUUUGGAUAGAAGAUUGGUACGCAGGGGGCGAACUGCUGCUACACAGGUGUUGGUGCAAUGGAGCAACAGUUUUCCAGAGGACGCAACGUGGGAGUACUGGUUUGACCUUCACCAGCAAUAUCCUCAUUUCAGUUCUUGAGGACAAGAACUGUUUGGGGAGGGAAGUAUUGUUACAUCUGAAAGAAAGGAUGCCAGCUGGAAUCGUAGUGCCAGGAGUUGUUAUGCCACAUCAGACGGGUGGUUGAGUUAGUUACGCCAUGUCAGCUGUUCUGUUAGGUAGUUAGGAGCCGGAAAUAGAAGGAGUGUGCAGAAAGGGAAAGUUUGGGCAGGAAGACGGUUAGCUGAAAAUGGAAAGGUUGCGGAAUUAGAAGGCGGUUAGCUGAAGUAGUAUAAAAGCAGUUGUGGGUAUGCGAGGAAGGGUAGUCAGAAGUAUUGUUUCCAAUUGUAUUCAUUCCCAUUCUCUGUUCUUUUUCUCUGCAAUAACAUUUGCUCUCUCACUCGAGUUGUCUUCUCCAAAUUGCAACUCCUGUUUGAGAGUAUUUCCCAGUGAUCUCACUAUCCUCCGUAACAUUGUGAUAUGCAAAUAAGAGUGGCAGUCUAUAUAAUUGCUAGACUAAUUGUGACACGUAAAUACCACAGUAUUAAUUGUGUCUUCAAUUGGUUGUGCGAUUGAGGCUACCAAAUUAUGUACUUAGAGGAUAAAAUACCAAAAUGUUCAAUUUACAAAUCACUACAUAAAUUCUGCUCUGGAUUCACUUUUUUUUUUUUGGGUGCCUUCUGGUUCUGGGGCUAGAUUGUUGUAAAUUAAGGGCGGGUUGUAGUAGCUCUCAAAUAAAGAUUCGAAAAGAGGAGGCGCAGGGCCCUUAGAAAACGUGAUUUUGGUAUAGCAGUUUUGGGCCUUUAUGGACAGGACCGUAUGAUGGCGUGAUCCUUUAUGGAGCUAUUAUCAGGCAAGGGAUGUAGACCAAUUUUGUAUUUUCGCCUUCAAGUUAGCAGCAGUGAAUAAUUCCACACAAGAAUUGAUUUAUAUGACUAAAACAUGUAAUCAAACUUGUGGUGCACAAAACUUAUCACAUAAUGAGUAAAAGUGCAAUCUACCAAAAACAUUUCAAAACCCUAAGGCUACGAUAUAUAUAUAUAUAUAUUUUAAUAUGAAAAUGUUUGAGUGGGUUUGAUUUCGGUUGCUACCAUGAGUCGGGACAUAUUCUCGGAAUCUUAUAUCGGUAAUGGAAUUUGAAUAUACUACCUUUUGUGAGAAAGUAAUUCAUUCUUACCAAUCGAACCAACUUAUGUUAGCUAAUACUAUGAUAAUUGCUGGUGAGGUAUUGAGCUCGUCCACUUAACUCAUUGGCACUACAAGGUGUGUUUUUAUAAUCUACAAUUUUCGUUUAGGGAAAGUGACCAUUAUUUGAAAGCAGACCAAAAAGAUAAGUAAAAUAUUCACUUUGAAACAAUCAUCAACUCGAGAGAAUUGGGUAAGCUAAGAAUGGUCUGCGACUCAUCAAAUUCAAGAUAAUCCCUCGCAUCUCCGAGCAAACAUGCGAUUGAACUGCUCAAAUUUCUUGCUCUAAGUCACAAUGUUGGGUUUUAGGUAAAAGACCUCUUGCCUUUCUCAAUCUUGUCACUUCUUCUUGGUCAACCUUGCAUUGCAUCCGACGUAUAUUUUUCCAACAGUUAUGGCAAAAUUCUUCGUAGCCAAACUAAAACUGAACAGAAAUGUUCUUAAUUACGUAUACUAACCAAUUAAAAAUUCAAGAAUGGGUAGUUAAACAACGAAUUUCCUCCUCAGGUCCUCAACAUCGAUUAUGAAUCACUAAAUUUUUGUUUCAAAGAUCCCGCUAUACAUAAUUAUCAUUACUCUUAUAAAAGUACCAUGAAUCUUGGUACCUUUAAGUAUAAGCAUUUUUGUGAACUUAGUUUUUGGUGUUUCAAUUAUACUCUUAUUAAUUGAUGAUUAAAGUUUCAUGUUACGCUCUUAUGAUUUAUGCUGUUUAAAAUUCAUUAUAGAAAAUAAUGGUCGAUGACAAGAUAGAAUAUUAGUUGAUGAUUAAGUUCACCAUAUUAUAUCAUACUAAAUUGAUUUAUAAAGGAAAAUAUUGAAUUGAGAAACAUUGAGCAAAUAGAUGAAAUAAUAAGUUGUACACAUCCAAUUUAGCAGAAUAGGAAGAAUUUAGGACAUGUUGCACCUAGUGUCAUAAUUGUAUCAAUAUGAAUAGUUAAAAAAAAGAAAGUAAAACACAGACUAAAACUAAAAAAUCAUAUGUGACAUAAAGAAUGAUAAAUAUUACCCCAAAAAAUUUGAAAAAUUCAAUUCAAAUGUCAUAAAAGAAAACAUUAACGUCACCUGAAUCGAAUAGAAAUACAUAGAUAUAGAUACAGAUAUUUUGAUACCAAAAGUAUCAUUAGUCUUAGAUUAGAGUGUUGCAAAAUCUGGUCUUAGUUUUUAGUGACACCCAAAAUACUCUUCCCUCCAAUAAUUAGAGUCAUCGCAUUUCAAUAAUAGACAAUAAAGGCAGUGGUUACAAAAAUGAAGCAUCAAAUCUAAAUUAUAGUGACAAAUAAAAUAAUAAUGCACUUUUAUCUAAAAAUAUCCAUUUUCGUUUUACUCCCAAUUUAUCUGUUAAAAAAAUUUUUCGAUUAUCCACAAUUCCAUUUCCAAGAUCAUCAAAAAUAUUAAAAUAUAUACUAGGGAAAAAGUGAUUUUAGGACAAAAAAGUUAUUAUUAUGCUCAAUUUGCUUCAGAGAAAGUAGGAAAGUCAACUAACCAAUAAUUUGAAGGUAUCUAUAAGAGUGAAAGAAAAAAAAAGAGAAAAAGUUUAGAUAAAUGUCUCAAAUCAUCUAAUCUAUUGACAUAAUAUAUGAUCAGAUGAUUUACUGGACUAAAUUGGAUACAAAUAAUAAAUAUAAAAUAGAUAAUUUAGUAGACCUAUGAGAUAUUAUUGCCGAAGUAUAAUGAUUGUCAAUAAUAUCUAAAAAAAUGUUAUAUUUUAAGAUAAUAUAAUCACGUGAAAUAUUACCAGUGAUACUAAAGUUUGGAAAAUCACUUUUUACAAUAUAAACUUUGACAUAAUAUAUAUAGAGGUCUUCUAUAGGGUAAGUUUACUCAACAAAAGUUGCUAUUUUCCGGAUAAAUUUGUCUAAAAUCAUUACAGCAAAGUUAGGCCUUAAAACUUGAAUUGUUUCAAAAUUAAGUUGGUAAGAAAAAAUAGAAACUUGUUCUAAAUUAAGGGAUCUUGCAAUUGAGAUUCACAGGUACAAAGUAAAUAGAAUCUGUGGAUUUGCACCUGGCAUGCAUAUACAUAUUAGAAAAAGACUAUUCCACUAUCCUAAAGUAGUAUUAUCUUAAAACGCGGAGAGCAGCUAUUAUCCUUGGAGUUGUGGACUUUAAUCUCUUUUCUGUACUUCGUUGUGAAAAUCCAGAAAAAGUGGGGCAAAACAUUACAUGAGAUAUAUAUGCAGUCCUUGCUACACUUAGAGAAGCGACGCAGUUCACUGAGGUGUCUAAAUCCACAUGGAACUAUGUCCUGCAGAUUAGACUGUUUCUAAUGUCCCUAUUGGUUUGAUAAGAGACACGGAGACAAGGUUGCUUGAGAGGCAAAUAUACCGACAGAUUACACAUCAAUAUUCGUUGUUUUAAGGAAAUUCUUUUACAGGCUGUACUUAAUAUAGUCAUUCACUGUUUUAAGAAAUCCUUUUUGCUCUAAAAUGAUGCAUCCUCAAGGAAUUAUCCAUGCUCCAUCUUAAAUAUAUCAUUCAUAUUGUUGUGAGGACCAUAAAGGAUAAAGGCGUUAAAAUAUUAGAAAUAAAAAGGAGCAUUAGGGGGGUAGAUUAUGCAACAAAUCACUAUAUCUUCAAAACAAGGACUACGGAUUCUUCUAGUAAAUUAUGCAAUAGAUUGUUUCCAUUAUCAUACAAAGCAUAUUAAAGGAGACAAAUUUCACUACCAUAUAAAACCCUAACUUUUCACUAAUCCUUUUGGCGAUAGAGAUAUAUUUCACUACAAAUUAACAGUUUUUUCUAAUCCAUGUAUGGAUUAUGCUAUUAAAUUAACCUAAAUGAAGAAGUCAAAAGAUUUAUUUUGAUUAUCAGUUUCGGUUUUCAUUUUCGAUUUCUUUAGCUUCGCUGGAGAUGACUUUUCUCUCGGAUGCCAUCUUUUUGUUGCCAUUAUCACAAUUUUCACUAUCUCUAGAUCUGGAUUGAUUUUUGCUAGUAUUAUCCAAAAAUUUCUUAGAGUUUUUCUUGUCCCUCUCUCCUCUUAGUGAAGCUGAUGAAGUGAAACUAGAGAAAUUUAUUUGUUAUAAUAGAGAGAGAGAGAGAGAGAGAGAGAGAGUGUGUGUGUGUGUGUGUGUGGUGAUGAGAGAGUAGGCAUGCACCCACAAAAAAGUUAUUAUUAUACUUAAUUUGUUUCAGAGAAAAUAGGGAAAGUCAACUAACCAGUAAUUUGAAGGCAUCUACAAAAGUGAAAGCAAAAGAAAAAGAGAAAAAAUUUAGAUGAAUAUCUCAAAUCAUCUAAUCUAUUGGUAUAAUAUAUGAUCAGAUGAUUUACUGAACAAAAUUGGAUACAAAUAAUUAAUGUAAAAUAAAUAAUUUAGUAGACCCAUGUGAUAUUAUUGCUAAAGUAUGAUGGUUGUUAAUAACAUCUAAAACAUGUUAUAUUUUAAGAUAAUAUAAUCACGUGCAAAACAUGUGAAAUAUUACUAAUGAUACUAAAGUUUGGCAAAGCACUUUUUACAAGAUAAACUUUGACAUAAUAUAUCGGUCUUUCUUAGAGUAAGUUUACUCAACAUCAGCAAAAGUUGCUAUUUUUUGGAUAAAUUUGUCUAAAAUCAUUACAGCAAAGUCAGUACUUAAAAUAUGAAUUGUUUCAAAAUUAAGCUUGCAAGAAACAAUAGAAACUUGUUCUAAAUUAAGGGAUCUUGCAAUUGAGAUUCACAGGUACAAAGUAAAUAGAAUCUGUGGAUUUGCACAUGGCAUGCACAUACAUAUUAGAAAAAGACUAUUCUACUGUCCUAAAGUAGUAUUAUCUUAAAACGCGAAGAGCAGCCAUCAUCCUUGGAGCUGUGGAUUUUAAUCUCUUUUCUGUACUUCGCUGUGAAAAUCCAGGAAAAGUGGGGCAAAACAUUACAUGAGAUACGCCAUAAAAGCGACACAAUUCACACGGAAUGUGUCCUGCAGAUUAGACUGUUUCUAAUGUCCCUAUUGGUUUGAUAAGAGAUACAGAGACAAGAUUGGUUGAGAGGCAAAUAUGCCAAUAGAUUCCGCAUCAACAUUUGUUGUUUUAAGAAACUUCUUUUACAGGUUGUCCUUAAUAGUCAUUCACUAGUUCCCACUAUUUUAAGAGGUCCAUUUUGCUCUAAAAUGAUGCAUCCUUAAUGAAUUAUCUUUACUUUAUUAUCCAUAUUGUUGUGAGAACUGCAAGGGAUAAAGUCACCUUCCACUUUUGCCUUGAAAUAUUAAUAAAAGGGAUAAUCUUUGUAAUGUUGUUAGUGCAAGUUUUUUUAGAGUAACGUUUUAAUUGGUACUUCACCUUUCUUGCGAUUUAAAAAUCUGUUUUCACACAUGUGAUAUGCAUGUACUCACAAUAGUGUAAAAAGUGUUUACAUUUUGUUAUAGUGUAGAAAAGAUUAAUUCAAUUAAGAAACAAUCAACCUUAUUCUCACAAUUUAGUUUUGCAGCUCUCAAAAAAGAUUGAGCCAUAAUAUUGUCGACGUAGUAUGUAUUUAUUAACUUCUACUUAAAUAUCACAAUAUCAAAUUGGUGGGUCAUUAAUCACGUACAAUUUGAUAUCUCAAAGUACUUAGUCAUUACUCAUUGUUUAGAAAAAGUAAUAAGUGUUGUAAUAGAUUCUAAGGCGAAUUAAAACUAACUUCAUAGGCUUGACAAGAAUAAUUUAAAGCAAACUAAGAAUGAGAUGUUGAGAUAAAAAUUGUAUAAUUUGGUCAACAUCUCUAAUUAUAUCAAAUAAUCCUGGGGUAUAUACUAUUUUGACCCCUCAAACUAUGCACGUAUCUCGCUUUAAUAUCUAAACUUCAAAAUGGGAUACUUCAAUCUCUCAACUAUCAAAUCUAUCGCAAUUAAGGAAAAUCAUUGACAAAAUUCCAAAAUCUUCAGUCUUCUUGGGGUAUGUAAACAUGUGCCAUUGAAUGAGGGCAAGUAUAAGAAUUCAUAAAAAUAUAUAAAAAAAUAAAAAGGAAAUUAUUUAGCACAAAGGAGGGAUUUCCUCCUUUUAUUCACCACAUACGGGUCAUAUUCUUGAUCCAAUCCAGUCCAUAAAAGGAUAUCAAUGUGUCCCACAUAAAUAGAGACCAAUUGGCUACAUCUCCAAAUGAGGGGAAAGAACUAAGAAGAAAAAAAAAGGUUAGAAAUCUGAAGAUAAAAAAGAAGAAAAAGGAGAGAUGAUUAGGAACGCAUGUAAUUGUGAAAAACAACCAUUGAUGAACAUCAUGGAUAGACUUAAACCCAGGAAGUAGGUUUCGUCAAUGGUAAUUUCCAUUAGGUAUUUCUAUUUGUACUUCCCCAUGUUUCCAGUUUGUAUGCAACCCAUCUAGCUAAACUUGUCUUUAUUUUCUUAAUGGUGUUGUUAAUGUAGGAAUCGGGAGGAUGCAGAUACUAGGAUUGGAUUGAUCAUUGAUCCUGAAAUAUGUCAAAAGUUCAAGGGUCUAAUCCCUGGAAUGUUAAGAACAAAAAACAAAAUAGAAGUUGAGAAUGAGAGGUUGCAAGAAAACUCAAGGGUGUAGCAAAGGAAAAUAAGAAGGUUGAAUGUAUAGUUGCUUCUUCACUGGGUUGUCGCUGUUCUAUGGUCACCAGUAUCCAUCAUAUUGGCCUUCUCUAGUUCACUUCAUCAGCUUUACUACACUCAGCUUUCUUUGCUACCAUGUCAAGUCAUUUGUAUCAUCAGCAUUUAUUGUGGCUUCAUUGAUGAUAUUUGGAAUGCCUACUCCUACAUCAGUUUCAUUUUCAAUGUCUACUUUCAAGGAUUUCGAGUUAGCUACACCAAAAAGCGCAUCUUGAGUAUCUAACUUUUGUGGAUGCAUGUUUACUCCCUCAUCAUCACUCUCACUCUCUUUUAUUAUAAUAACAUCACUAUCGCAACUAGCUGCACCUUCAUCUUUCCCAGCCUCUUUUGAAGGAGUUGUCCGACUUUCAUGCAUGGUUUUAUUUUACAUAUCCUUAGCAUGGAACCUCACCCUAUUAGCUCUACCUCCAAAAGCAAGAUACACCUUAGCAACUCUAUUAGGUUGUAAGGUAUUAACAAGUAAUUCACAGUCCCUAUCACAUAAGCCAAAAACUAGUCCGUGAUCGAGUGAAAAUCCCGGUAGUCUACCGUACCACCCACAACCUACAUCUUUUGGGUAUCCAAGUUUUUCUCACAUUUAUCAAGCAUUUGAAGUGACCAUUUUUCAGGAUUACACCCAUCAAUGAGGUCAACCCUUCCUCCUGCGUAUUCUGUGUUAGGCGAUCUUGUAAACUCUCGCUGAUGGCAUAUCUCUAAAGUAAAUGGUUCAGGCCAAAUACCAUUUUGCCCGCUCUCUGAUUUUAAGCAAAUAAGUUUUUUAAUCAGAAAAUGUUUUAAAAAAUUCAAUAAUUUCUAAAAGGGUAUCACAAUGUCAUCAACACAAGGAGCAUUAGGGAGACAGAUUAUGCAAUAAAUCACUAUAUCUUCAAAAUAAGGACUACAGAUUCUUUGAGUAAAUUAUGCAAUAGAUCUUUUCCAUUACCAUACAAAGCAUAUUAAAGGAGACAAAUUUCACUACCAUAUAAAAUCCUAACUUUUCACUAAUCCCUAUGGCGACGGAGACAUAUUUCAUUACAAAUUAAUAGUUUUUUCUAAUCCAUGUAUGGCUUAUGCUAUUGAAUUAACCUACAUGAAAAAGGCAAAAAUUUUAUUUUGAUUACCAAUUUCAGUCUUUAUUUUCGAUUUCUUUAGCUUCACUGGAGAUGGCUUUUCUCUUGAAUGCCAUUUCUUUCUUGCCCUUGUCGUAAUCUUCACCGUCUGUAGAUCUCGAUCGAUUUUUGCUAGCAUUAGCCAAAAAUUUCUCAGAGUUUUUCUUGUCCUUCUCUCCUCUCUCUUUCUCUAUAAUUUACAAAUCAAAGCCCUAAACCAAAGAACCCAAAAUGUUUUUCCAUCUAUUUUCUAUUUAUUUUGCGAUGAAAUUACAUUUAUGCCCUCGUCAUUUUGGUAGAAUUUGAAACCUAGUCUCGUUUAAUGGUGUAUGUUUGCACACCUCAAGAAGACUGAUGAUUUUGUGGAUUCUAUCAACGGUUUUACUUAAUUGGGAUGGAUUUAACAAUUUAGGGAUUUAACUAUUCCAUUUUGAAAUUUAGGGAUUGAAGUGAUAUAAAGUGCAUAGUUUGAGGGUCAAAAUGAAAUUUCCAAUAAUCCUUCCCUGGAAACAAAUAAAAGCGUUUUAGAAAUGAGGCAAUAGAGAAAAGUUAACAGCUUAUUGAUGAUUAAACAUGAAAAGCAAGAAACUUUAUUUUUAUGAUAUGCUAAUUGGUGUCAUUAAGUUUUCGGCAGAUUCUUUUCUUUGUUUUGUACUAUUGGAAAACAGUAAUUUGCUGAUUUCAUGUGUUUGAAAGAUGCUAUACUCACUCUUGCAUGCCAAUUGCCAAAGAAUGUACAAAAGAAAAGAACAAGAAAUUCCAAGUAUAGCUAGUCUGGAAAUUCUUCUUGUUAUAGAAAUCAAAUUUAGAUAGAGCAAGUACAAUGGUUUGUACUAGCCUUUGAUGGAUAUUAGGUAAACCUUCAACAUGCAAAAUCUUUCAUGUAUUGGGUCGUACCUCAGUAGUCCAUUUAGUUUUUAUUUUAUUUUAUUUUAUUGAAGUUGCCUUUUAAUGUUGCUUGCCGAUUAAGUCUUGAAAGCUAAUAGUGAGGGUAGGGAAAACAGACCAAUUCUUAGAAACGUGGUCGGCUCGGUGACGGAACAUAUUGCAGUCAAUUUUCGUUGUUGGACUGACCAACAAUCACACAAAUGCCCUUUUUGUUUGGAUAAAGAAAGUUGAAAAUCAUGCGAUCACAAACGUUUGCCUACAUAUGCUUAAAUUCCAGAAGAUGACAUUCACCAGUCUAGGAUGAGAUGAUGCUCGUUCAAAAUGAGUAAUUAUCCAAACAAUGUUAACUUUUAUAUGGAAUUUUAGCGGCAGAGCAAGUAAUUUAUGAAAGGGGUGGGGAAAGGGGCAUCUUGUCAAUAUUGAACACCAAUACUUUUCCAGUCUUAAAAAGAAAUAAGUUAAAACUUUAUAAACCAUAAAAUUAGGAAAAUGGAGAAAAUAUAUUAAAUGAUAUAAAAAAUUUUCGGGGGUCAAGAAGAGGACUUUUUAAAAAAAAUUAGAAUUUAAUAGUCGUUAAAUAAAAAUUUAGCUUAAUUACAUUUAUCACCCUUGAGGUUUAGCCAAAUUACCAUAUGAAUCCCAUCGUUUGGUCAAACUACAAAAGUCCUCUGUCAGUAACCUUCUGUAAACCCAACUAACAUAUAUUACUAAAAUGACAAAAUUGACCCAAUACAAAAAGUUGGAAAAUAAAACACAAACGUGGAACAAAAUGGGAUAAGGACAAAUCUCCGCGCUGAUAUCCAUCUUCCAAAUGGACCAAAUCUUUCUUUCCUCUUCUUUCAUCAAUUCUCUUUUCUUGCGUAUUAUUUUUCCUUGUCUAUUGAACGUAUUGUUUUAUCAAUUGAAUCUGCAACUUAGAUUUGGUUCUUGACAUAACAAAAUAGUUUUUCUUUCAUGUUUUUUUGGAGCGUGGCAUGAAUUUGCUGCUAAUGGUGCAGAAUUUUUUUGCAUCUUCUUUUCUUAUUUGUUAUUAAUUCUGGUCGUGGUUACCAUGUUACAAGAUUAAGAUGCUGUGAACAAAAUAUUAUUGUUGUUGACAUCUCAAAAAGUGUUUUCUUUUGAUUUUAGUGUUUGAAGUUAGAUUUAAGACUCCUAAAAAAAAAGUUUGAUCUAAGAGAUAUUAAUGGAUAUGAAUGAGGUGGCCUUGACAAUUUUCUUUGGAUUUUGGUAGUUUGAAUAAAAGAAAGAUCACUACCUACAUGACUAGGUAUCUUGAAACAUCCAUGAUAGAUUGGCAUUUGGAGUUGGAGAUUUUGCUUUAGCAAGGCUACAGUUGGUGUUUCCGGGGAAUAAGGAAGAAAUAAGGAUGGCGGAAAAAAAAAGAAGAAGAAGAAAAAGGUAAUAAUGCUUCGAGGGUAUUUUUGGACCUUCACGUAAAGUUACUACAGUCUUUGUUGAAUUUCAGGUGGUCAACGUCAAAGGACUAACGGGAGGGGUGUAGUAGUAACAAUUUAUGAUUUUUAGGGGACGCCCUAUAGUUUGGCCAAACCAAGGGGUCCAUUUGAUAAUUUGGUCAAGUUUCUAGGGAAGUAAAUGUAAUUAAUUAUAAAAAUUUAAAAACUUAUGGAUUGGUUGCAACCCUUCCUCCCCGUUGACUCCGCCUUGAACCUCUGCGCUUAUGAUAUUCUACAUUAUAGGGCCUUUAAGUUAUUCAAAUUUGUCCCCCUUACAUUAGGAAACUAGUAUAGAGUAAGUGUAAUUGUAAGUCUAUCUUAGGUCUCUUUAGGUCCUCUUCCCCCUAUUAUAGAGUAAGUGUAGGUCUAUCGUGUCCGAAAAAAAGGUUCUCCCUCCCCUAGCAUAAAGUAAGUAUAGGUCUAUCGUGUCCCAAAAAAAAAUAUUAGGAAACCAGGAGGUGAUAGUUGGUACAUAAUUAUUGGGAUUCGAAAAAAAAAUCUUAGACUUGAUUAGGUUAAGACAAUAUAGGGAAGAUUGGGGGAUUAUCCAACAUUAAAGAAGUAGUAGUUCUUUUUUUUUUUUUUGGAUAAUUUCAGACAUAAAUACGUUCUAAUAUCAAAUAUUACACUACCCACCCCUUGAUUGACAUAUUUGGUAACAAAUUAAGUCCAUGUCGUAAAAAGUAAAUUUAAAAAUAAUGAAUUAGUCUUGUCAAACAAUUAUAUUCCAAGUUUACUCCCAUUGAUCCUACAAGAAAAUGAGUUAAAAUUUUUGGGCAAGAAAAAUGGCAACAAAAAAAGGAAGAAAAAUUGGAUAAAAUUGUAAGAGUGUACCACUAAAACUUGAGCCUUGGUAAUUAUAUAGUGGUAGAACCACAAGGUCAAGAUAUGGUGGAUUUAAAUUCAUUUACAAUAUUUAAUAGAAGUUUAUCUACCAUGCUUCAAAAUAAAAAAAAAUUCCAAAACCACUUAUACAAUUGCAUAUGCAAGUGGUACAAAGCACUAUAAACAAAAUAAACUAAAACAAGUCUUAAAUAUCUUAAAUAUCAAGUUGAUUGAAUACCCAUAAUGAGCAAUCCAAAGCAAAAAAAAAAAAUUUUUUUUUAAUAGGCUUUGAAGAUGGUUAGGAUUGUAAAUGUUGCAAUUGUAGCACCUUACUUUCAGUUACAGAUUUGAGUUUGCCAAGCAAUCCAUUGAACACAAAACAUCAUCUCAGACUAGUUGUCCGGAUGGUAAGGAUUGCUAAGCUUAGGUGACUAGGUGACUAUAUGGUAUCAGUUCCAUCAUGAGAUUUGAUGUACAAAAGAUUCAGACCACUACCACUGAAUGCAGGCUUAGUAAAAUACUAUAUAAAUUACUAAUUAGAUAUGUAGUGAUCAGCCAUUAAAACCACAAGCUGAAGGAGCUACUAACAUUGACAGAGUUAGUAGUUGCAUUAGCUUCUAUGUAACAAUUCUGGAUGUUUGAGAAGCUCCAUUGUUGCUUUCUACAGGGGCAUUUUCUCUAGAAGGCAUGUGUGAAUGAAUGGGGGUACCGCCAGUCCUUUUCUCAAUAGUGUUUAUUGUCCUUAUGGCUCUAGCUUUUGUAGGCCUUCCUUUCUAACAAAAAUAAAUCAUAAAGUGCUCUUAUCAUACCAGAGACAUGUAUAUGCAUAUAAAGAUGUAUGUGGCUAUCAAAUGAAAUUGAAAUAAACAAAGUUAUACCUUCUUUGUUCCACUUGGCUGGCUUGGAAUUGAUUUUGUACAUUAACAGUAGCAGAUGGAGUUCUGGUACCCAAUUGAGCUCGAGCAGAUACAGAAUUUGUGUUUCCCUUGAUUGUAUCCAACAUUUAGGUAUCUCCAUAAAUUAACAACAGUAUACAACUUACAAGGACAUGAAUAUAAGACAUACCUAAUUUGGACAAUUAGGAUUGCUACCUUGACUUGAGAAAACAACAGGUAUAUUUCUAGAAACAUGAUCCUGCAUUCAGAUAUAAAGUGUAACAGUUGAUAAUGAAUGCCAUAAUAAAUUUUGAAUCCAACAAUUAUUGUAGUACCCAAAGUACAGCCCCAGAUAACCCUGUAUUAGCCAAUCCUCUAUCCGGUUUCCCUUUUCUUUCACGAACCUGAUAACAUGAAAUCAAUUAGAAUGUCAUAUUAACCAAAGCAAAUAAUGAACAAGGUCAUAUAGACAAUGUGCAUAACCAUUACUAGAAGCAUUGCUUUCUUUCUUUGCUUUCACUGGAGCUCUUUCACAAGUUCUCCUAUUAUGCCCAUAAGAUUGGCACAAUGAGCACCUAAAAGCUUUGGACCUUCCUGUUUGAGUUGAAGGAGCAUUCUCAUCAGAUUCUCUCCACCUAUUCUUUUUUGGUCUACCUAGUCUCUUCUUAAUGGGAGUAGUAAUAGUGUAGCAGGGGUCACCUCAACAUAUCAGGCCAGUUUCUCUCAUCAGAAGCUGGAUUUAUCAUUCCAGAAUAUGUCCUCUGAUACACCUCAAUUGUAAAUAUUGGAUCACAAUAUUUCUCAAUAUUCUCUCUUUUGUAUAUAAUUCCUAAAGCAGCAUGCUUGUAUGGAAUUCCUAAAAUUUGAAAUGCUCCACAUUCACAAGUUCUUUCUUGAAGAUUGGCUAUGUAGGACUUACCAAAUUCCUUUACUUCAAAUAGUGUCUUACUAGCCAUAGAAAACUCACAUUUUCUAGAUUGAGUGGCAAUUUCUCUCAGUUUCUCCACAAUUGGCACAACACCUGUGUAGGUACAGCUCUUAUGAAAUCUUUUCUAUAGUUUCUUUAUCAAUUUUCUCCUUAAACCUUCAAGCAAUGUAAGAAUAGGCAACCCCCUCAGAUCACCAACCCAUGCAUUAAAAGAUUCAGUGAAGUUAUUCAUCACAUGAUCACAUUUUAUAGUAGGAGAAAAUGAGUGUGCCCAAGUUGUUAGCGGUAUCUUUGUCAAGUAUAUCCAAGCUUCAAUGUUUAUCUCUUCUCUCCAUUGCCUCUUCAUGACCAGUUGUAUCAAAGCUCUUAGUUGCCUGCCAGAAGUAAUUACUAAGCAGCAACCCAGGAAAGGACAGUUUAAAGUUGCUCUGAAUAUGCCUACAGCAGUAUCUUGCAUUAGCGUAUGGCAUCAGUUCUUCAUAUGCUAAGUUUAGACCCUACAUUUAACAUAAUUUAAUUAGAACAAAUAGAAGAUUGGUAGUUAAGUUAUAUGACAAUAGAAAUGGGACAUUUGUAAGUAGAACAAAAUGUACAUUUUGUCUAUCACUCAUAAAUGUUAGAGGCAGUUGGUUAUCAAAUGGACCAAAGUAUUCUUCAAAGAAAUAAAAGAACCAUGACCAAGUCUCUUUGUUUUCACAUUUAGCCACAACAAUUGCAAGAAGGAAUAUGCUGUGAUUCCCAUCCAAAGCCAUAGCAGUAAGCAACAUUCCUCCAUAUGGUCUUUUGAGGUUGCAACCAUCAAAACCAACAAAUGGCUUGCAAUAUCUUAGAAAUUCAUCUUUUUGUGCUUUGAAACUAAUAAAAAUUCUCAAAAAUCUUCAUUCCACCAAGAGAUUUGGCCUAUCAAAAUGUAUUUUGUAGAUGCAUUGAGGGUUACUUUUCCUUAAAAUCUCAGUAUACUUGAGCAAUUUUGCAUAUGACUCAUAGUGUGUACCCUAUAUCUCUUCUAGUGCCCUUGUCUUUGCCUUCCAAAUCUGCAUCUUGCUAGGAUGCACAUCAUAUUUUGAUACAAUCUCAGCAUAGACACUUUCUGUAUUCAUUUGAGAAUGGAUCCAAAGAAGUGGAACCAGUUUCUUUGCAAUCCAAUCAGAUGUAGCCUCCGUAUUCCUAUUGUUCAUAACACAAGUGUGCUGAGGUGUGUAAGACUUAAUUUGAAAAGUAGUUGUUUCACCAACAGGAGAAACAUGGAUUUUGCAUGGACAGCCUUCAAUAACAUACUUAGAAGUACACGUUUUCUUUUCAUUUUUCAGUUUUACUAUGGGAAAACCUUUCUGGAUUACAUAAUCCUUCAAAGCAGCCCUAAAAGCAUCAAUAUUGGUGAAUAACAUAUCCUUCUCAAAUCCAAUAUCCUCUCUCAGAUUAUAGGUGAACAUUUUUGCUCUUAAAGCUGCCCUAUUUGGAUCAAUUUCAUCCUCAUAUUCGGAAUUCGAAAUGACAUCACCUUCAUAUUUGUCCUCAUAAUCUGAGAAAGCAAUAUUACUCAUAUUAGAUGAUUCAUGUGCGUCACUGCUAUUGCUUAAGUUGUCCUCUUUGUCAUUGUUUGCUUCAUACAACCAAGAAUCAUCAUCACUUGAAAUGAACACUUCAUCAUCCCUUUCAAUAUUUUGUAAAUUAGGUUCAGCAUUUUCAGCAGUAUCCUCAAUUCCUAGAUUCUCUUGCCCAUCACAAAAGUUGUUAUUGUUGUUUACCUCAGGCAUAUUAAAUGGAAUUACAUCCAUGUGGUCCACAGACAAAUUGAUUACCAACUUAUUUUCAUACACCUUAAACAUUUCCAAGACCGCCUUAUCAGUGUUGACGUCCAUUGUUGCAGUAGUUCUUGGAAUUCCACAUCUCAUAUGUAGCAAAUAAUUAAGAUUUUCAGGUAAUUCAUGAAGUGUUUUCUCACAAAUAUCAUUCAACAGUUCAAUAUAAAAGUACCUAUCAGGAUCUAUAUUGGGAAUCCUGAUUCUUCUUCCAUUAUAGUGAACUAUAAAGUCAUGUGCAACCACAGGUGACAUUCUAUUUUACCCAAAUUAAUCAUUAGUAUCAUAGUUGUUAUUUACUAACAUCAAAAUCUAAAUAAUGAAGUUAAAUCUUCUUUGUCAUAUAAUAAUACCUAAGAGCAGCUUUCAAAAUACAAAAAACUCCAUAAUCCAUCAUAGAUUUUUUCUUUUCAUUUGCUCACAUCAGAUAGCUUUAUUAUUCUAGAACAACCUCAACUUGUCUUUCAUUCUUUUAUUACCAUCCUUUAUUACUCAACAAGCUCUACAUAAGAAGUACAAGCCAUUUAUCUACUGAAUGAGAUGAACAAAUACUUUUAACUAAAACUCUAUUGAGUCACCAAACAUCUAUAUUUUAGACAAAAAACAAAAAACAUCAUAUUGAUCAUCAAGUAAAACUCAUUGCAAUACAAUUCUCCCUCUAUAAAUCAUUAAGCUAUAUGAACAUCAGUUGCUAAAAAAUCCAUCAAUUACACCACAUGCAUGCAUUAUUAGUCACAGAUUUAGCAUAAAAAACAUCCACGUAGAUAUGAUCUAACCUUAAAACCAUCAUCCCUUUCUACUAUCUAACUUUUGAAGCAAUCUCACAGCCAUAUCUUCAUCUUAUAAUAUUAAUAACAGAUUAUAUGCCACUAUAACAAGCAUAUAGAUCAUUAACAUCCACAUUAGUGUCUAUUACUUGUAAAUAGGUACAAUAAAUCCAACAAAAUUGUGAUAACCUUAACAACUUUCUAUUAAGCUCAUAUGUUGCAGAUAUGCCACUAUUCUAGCUUAUCCUUCAUGAGAUAAAGGAUUUUUACCAGUUUUGCUACUAGAUCCUCUCCUUUCUCUAUAGCUAUUUCUUCUGCACUUUAGAAGUAGUAAGACUGUUCAGAAAGCAGCAGAAGCAUUAUAUAUCCCAAGUGUAAUGGCGCCAAAUUGCAUAUCAAGAACAUUACUUGGAAGACUUAUAUUUUUCCCACAUUUCUAAUAUUUUAGAGACUGAUAAGGGUAUUUCUAUCACUUUAUUGCUAUUGAAGUUGACAAGUGGUCACAUCAGAAUGAAAGGGGAGGGCAGUGUAAUUUUUAAUAUUAGAGGGUACUUAUGUGCAAUUGUCAGAAACCUCAGGGAAGGUUUCUGAAAUUAUCCCUUUUUUUUUUUGGUAAUCAAGAAGUAGUAGCUUGGUGCAACUCUCCAUUGAAAUUUCAAAUUGAAGCAGAUCAUGUUAAGCCUUCAAGGCUAGUGAUUGCCAAUAGGAGGUUAAAUUACAAUUUUCACGAGCUCAUUAUUAGGAGUAUGAAUUUUUAGCCUUAACUUCAGUACCGGAUCAGGAUCCACCGAGAUUUGAAGUUUGGUGUCUGGAAUGCCUUGAACAAUUAAACUGAACUAAACGUGACAUGAGCAAUUAAAUGAAUGAGGAGGCAUCUGAUCACGGCCAUAAAACUUCUAAAAAUUACGUACAUGACUUCUGUUUCCUUUUUCAGGGAUGAUAUAGAUGUUAAUUGGAUGCAAAAGGAUUGAAUAUACCACACUUUAAUUACGUGUCUCAUUGGCUUCUGAGAUCUAAAAUUUGACCAUUGUAAAACAAAUGAAAAUAAUAGUACUGACCAUUCUUGAAAAUGAACAUGUGCAAAUUUUGAAACACGCCAGCAUCAUGAAGGUGUUCGUUCAACCAUUUGUAGUAUUUUAAAAAUAGGUAUAUUUGUCUAGCAGCAUUUCUUCGGCUAAUAUGGUUCAUGGAUGAGACCAUUUCCAACUACCUUGACUUUAUGUUGUUGUAAUAUUAACAUGCAAAAGGUAUCUUUCUUGCAGAUUGAAGUAUACUUAACUUUUCCUUGUGGAGAUCAUAGCAGCAUACAUAUAUGCACGGGUAAAGAGAGCUAAUAUGGCGGUAAAAUCGAUUAGAGUGAAAGCUUGAAGAGUAAAAAUUUCCAUGUUUUAACUCAUGCCUGAAUAGAUGUAAGAUCAUUUACCUGAAUUUGAUAUCAUUGCAAAAAAAUAGUAGUGAUGAUAAUAGUUAAUCGUUCAAGUUCCAUUACGAUGUCUUGGUUUCAUCUUUGUGCUCCAGGGACAAAAAGUAUAGACAGUUACAUAUUGGAUUUGGACCACAGAAGUUAGAGUUUCACUUCAAAUCGGUUCAUGUAAUUCUUAUUAUAUUUGAUUUUGGCAUAGUCAUGAAUUUGAUACCAAUUUUGUUGUAUAAGUUAACAAAUUCAAGUUUAUAUCUAAAUUAUACGAAUUUAUACAAAAAAUGUUAAAAAUAUUAUGAUUAAUCUUUCAAUAACUAAAUAUAAAUAUAAAUUUUAAAUUUUGCUCAUGUAUCAUAUAUUUUACUGUGAUAGUGUAUACAUUAUGAGAUAUAUAAUGAGUGUAAGAUUUACUCAAAAUAUUAUGGUUGUGAAGCAUAAUAAGAUAAUGACAUAACCAUGGCUAUUUGGAAUACAAUUCAAAAAGUUUUUGGCAAAAACAACUUAAAUUGCACUGUUAAUAAUGCUUCGAUCAUUGUUGAUAACACUAUCUCUUUUAUAUUUUCUACAAAAGCACACGAAAAAAAUGGAGUGUAACUAAAAAAAAAAAAACGGUGGAGUGCCAAUACCAUUAACUGAAAAUUUUUUAAAAAAAAAAGAAACCAGGACAUAUGUCUUGGUUCUCUUGAAUGCCUAACUUUCAUAUGCUAAAAUGUCUUUCCUUUUUCUUUAUAUAUAUAUAUAUAUUGAGGGGGCGGUUUGCCAAUGUCAGCAAUUGCAGGAAUAAGUGCAAGAGACCCUUGCGUCCGAAUCACUCUCAUCAUUCCAUACCAUAAAGAGUCGUAAAACACAAAAUCUACACCCAUUCCUUCCAUACCCAAUUCUCUAUAAAUAUGCAACUUCGUCAGGAAACUGAUAUCACACAUUUACUAAAGCCUACACCUCUUUGUUUAUCAUCCCAUCAAUCUCCCCACACUUUUGAGAUAAUCAUCCCUCUUUCACACGACAAGUUAAUUAGGACAAAAUAGGAAAUAAUGACUCUACAUACAAAAUUCUUUGCACAUUUGAUUGUUACAUUCCUAUUUUUAGUUUCAUGUCCCUCAGCCUUUCAUGGGGACCUACAUGAUCAUAGCGAUAUCCAACAAACUGGAUAUGACUCUGAAGCAUACCCUUCAUUUCUUAGUACUGUUGAUGGCAGCCAAUUUGAUAACUCCAUGAUGUUUGAAGCCGGGGCUUCUGAUGGCUUGACCAAACUUUCCAGACUCGAAAGCUCGGGUAGAAUCAUUAAUGUGGAUAGGUUUGGAGCUAAGGGUAAUGGAGCUGAGGACGAUUCAAAUGUAAGUAUCUUGACUGCUAAGAAGAAUUAGGAUCAUUAUUUUGUUACUAUAGAUUUUACUAGCGUGCGAGAACCAAAACAAAUAAAUAAAUAAAACAACGUUUAAUUUAUACUAUAUGACAUGCAAUAAAUUGAAUGGACUUCUUAAAGGCAAUUUUCCACUUCAAUUUUAUGAUUUGUAUUGAGCAAUUUUAAUUUGCCUAUGAACUUCCUUUCUCAGGCAUUUCAGUCUGCUUGGAGAGAAGCUUGUUUGUCUACAGUAGCUGUUACUCUUGUGGUAUCCCAAGGAAAAGAUUAUCUUCUUAAACCUGUUAAAUUUUCAGGUCCCUGCAAGUCUGAAAUUACAGUGCAGGUCAGUUCGAUCGAGAAAAAUUUGUGAGUCCAAGUAAUGUUUUUCAAAGCUUUUGCAUGUAUAGUAUUUAACCAAAAGUAGCUAUUACUUCCAUGAAAUAUGCAGAUUAAUGGUGUCCUUCUAGCUUCUGAUGAUAGAUCAGACUAUGGUAGAGAUGGGAGGCAGUGGAUUCGUUUUGACAGCGUCCAAGGCUUGAUUGUUGAAGGGGGUGGAGUUAUCAAUGGGAGAGGAAAUAUAUGGUGGCAAAAUUCAUGCAAAAUCAACAAAGCUCUGGUAAACUAUUAUUGAACAACAGAAGUUUUUCAAGAUGCUUCUCUUAACUAGUGUUGCCUUUUUUGACUUGAUUAUAUUAUACUAUUUGUCUUGACCUUUUUUUUUUUUUUGGUUACCAUUAUUUAUCUUGACGUCUUCUUCAAUUUUUGUUUUCUUACAGCCAUGCAAGGACGCACCAACGGUAUGUGUUUUUUUUUUUUUUUGAAUACUAAAGUAGUAUCAUUUAUUGUUUUCCCCCAAAAAAAUCAGCUUAUUUUUUCUUGGUUCCUUGCUUACUAACUUUAGUUUUAUUUCCCAUCAAACCAUUUUAUUUGAUUUUCUAGCUAGGCGCUUGACGUCUGCUUUAUCAUUCUCAAACAAACAACAUUGUAUACCAUGGCAAAGAACAUCAUGUUAAUACUUUGCAUACGAUUAGAAAUAAUAUGUCUUGGCUUCCAAUUCGAGAUUUGGAUCAAAUACCAUAAAUACGGAAAGCUCAAUGGCCCUUCAAAAAUGGCUGUUUGAACCAAUGUUUUUAAACGCGAACCGAAGAGUGAAUCGAAAAACCUUCCGAUUUACGGUUCGACCGAUUCAACCGGUUCGAUCCCCGUUCAAAGGUUUCAUAAUUUUUUAUUCAUUUUAGUAUUAAGAAUUUUGAAUAAAACAAAAAUAUUUAUUUUAGAAAAUAAAUACUUAAUAAAAAUCGGUUAAACCUCCUAAUUUUUACCGAUUUUGACCGGUUUAAUUAACUUUUUGGGUUUUUAAUUAAACCGGACCGGAAGCACGGCGGGUUCGUGGUUCAACCGAUCUAGCCGGUCCGGUCUGAUUUUCAAAACAUUGGUUUGAACUUUACAUGUGGUACAAAUCUUAGGUCCAUUGCCCUUGAAUGACCACUUGUCAUACUUCCUUUCUAACAUGAAGAUUCCAAUACUCCACGAUGUAAACCCAACUCUUAUUAGUCUUCCUACUCUUGCUGAGAAGUCUGUUCACACCUUGACAUGAUCUGCCUGCCUUUUCAUUUGGGAAACCUAUCAAAUAAUUGUAGACUUAAACUUACGUUGAAACAAGACUACCUUUGGCUAUCUGUAAUUUAGCAGAACUUGACUCUAGAGGCCUUUGACUGCCUUGUUUUUGUAACUGACUCGUAACUUCUCUUAUGCGUAUGUUUCUUUCAUACCCCAAAAAAAAACAAGAGUAGUAAACUACCUUUUUCUACUUUUAUAGAUGUUUACAAUUUUUUUUUUUGGGAUGACAUCAACUUGAUUUCUAUUUUCACAUGAAUUUUUAACACGAUUUCAGGCUGUGAUAUUUUACAACUGCAAGAACUUGGUAGUCCAGAAUCUCAGAUUCCAAGACGCACAACAAAUUCAUAUGGCUUUUGAGAAAUGCAUAAAUGUCCAAGCUUCCAAUUUAAUUGUGACUGCACCAGAGGAAAGCCCCAAUACUGAUGGAAUUCAUGUAACAAACACUCAAAAUAUCCAAAUCUCUGGCUGCACAAUAGGAACAGGUAUAGUACUAAUGCUUUCCAACGUCUAAUUACAACAAAGAAAACCUAAUCAUAUCACUCUCUUCCACCUUACUAACGUUUGAAUCUACCUUUAACUUUGUCCAUAAAAGGUGAUGAUUGCAUUUCGAUUGUAAGUGGAUCCCAAAACGUGCAAGCUACAGACAUAACAUGUGGACCAGGACAUGGAAUUAGGUACAGUAGUAAAAAUCAGUUUCUAAUCAAAGGUGCAACAUGUGUUGUAUCCAUCAAGAUUAUUUGACUACUUUAUUUCUUUGUCCCUUAUUUUUUUGGCUUUUUUUUGGUUGGCAUGCGAAAUCAGUAUUGGAAGCUUGGGAUCAGAAAAUUCUGAAGCUCAUGUCUCUGAUGUGACUGUACAUGGAGCAAGGCUUUCCGGCACCACUAACGGAGUUAGGAUCAAGACAUGGCAGGUAAAAAACUGGAGUUUUCCAAAUUUCUUCCCAACUGUUGCUUCAUCAAUAUAUGCAGGCAAAAAUAGCUCUUCAGCUCUCAAUCCUGUGUUAUUGCAGGGGGCAGCUGGGAGUGUAAGCAACAUCAAGUUCCAAAAUAUCCAAGUGCAUGAUGUUCAGAACCCGAUAAUCAUAGACCAAAACUAUUGUGACCAAUCCACGCCUUGUACACAACAGGUAGAAGAUUUAAUUCUUGAAUUAUCCACCAAGAUGUGAAUAAUUAAUCAUGGACAAUUUUUCUUCUUCUUCUUCUUUUUUUUUUUUGGCUAAACUUAACCAAUCCCUAUCUUUUCAAGAGGAACAUAAAUUUUAGAUGUUCUCUUUUUUAAUCUCUACUUUUAGCAAAUCUUAGACGAGACAGCUUUUAUUCUUACAAAAAUUAACGUCAAUAAUUGCAAUUAAAUCUUUUCUUUAAUCACAGCAUACAGCCAUCCAAAUUAGCAACGUACUCUAUCAGAACAUCUAUGGAACAAGUGCUUCAGCCGCAGCCAUAAACUUGAAUUGCAGCAAAAGCUUCCCAUGUCGAGGGAUUGUGCUACAAAAUGUUAAUUUAGUAGGUGAAGGAGGUGGAGCAGCAAAAGCUUCAUGCAACAAUGUCAAUUUGAGCAACGUUGGGCUCGUUUCUCCACGAUGUGCAUAAGAAGAUAAAGAAUGCUGUACAUAUACAAGAUAUAGUAAAAUCAUUGUGUUGUUGUAAUCACAAGAAAAAAAUAAAUAAGAUCCCAAUUUAUGUACUCAUCCUUUACCAAACAACUACAAGCUCAGGAUAAUUCGUUAGUAUCUAUUGGUUAUUGAAGGGCUGAAUAAGUGGUGCACAUCUCUAAUACCCAAAUAUUCAGUUCAUUCAUUCUUGUUCAGAAAAAGGAUAAGGUUUGUCCGGAUCAAUAGUUUAGGUUUUAUGUACUGUGGUCAAUUCUUUUCUUAUUCGUAAGAGAGCCUAUGGUAUAAAUGAGAAGAUGUUGAUGUGUUAUUAGUCCUUAUAAAUUCUUUGAUCUUUUUCUUUGGAAUGACUAUGAUAAAUUGUAUAUGAAUCUAGCUUCUUUUUGUUUUUUGGGCACUUUCUGUUUGGUUUAUUUAGCAUUCUCCAUUCCAACUUAUUCGCUUUCUCUACAUCUUUCCAUUACCCAAACGCAAGGCGCAUGCAGGGUCAAUACUAGUUGCAGAACUCAGUUUGUCAAUUCCAACUCUUCUUGAAGUAUUAGUUUCAAAACUCAGUUUGUCCUUUCGCCUUGUAUUGAAGCAGCUAGGAGCUGACAUGAACAAACUCAAUAAUUUAUUGUGAGCAUCUGCUUGAAGUUCCUGAAAUGUGUAUAACCAAGAGUAUAAGAUUUUGUCAUUGUGACAACAAAGUUAGGAUAGAAGAAUAUAUAUCAAGAAAAUUCAGUGUAAAUUGCAAUUAUCACUGUAUAUUGCAAUUUAAUAUGCUUUUGAUAGUUCUCACUUCUUGCCUUCUCAACACCAAUAUGCACAUCGUAUGCACGUUUAUAGGGAUCGAAAUUCUCCAUCUUUGGUCGUUAUCUAUGUUCUUAUGUUUAACAUGUUUACUUCUCAAAGCCAUUCGUUUACUUCUGCUACUAAAAAUUAGAAAAAAAAUUGUUAAUGGCUUCUACCGACGCAAGCAAAAAAUGAUCAAUAACUUGGUUCAAGGGGCAAAUGUUGAAGAUAAAAAAUUAUCAUUUCUUCAAAGUUAAUCAAACUUGCACGAAAAGGAAAUGACUGUAGGGAUGAAGUAAUGCUUUGAAGAAGUGGAAUGGGGAGGGCAACUGAUGGUAGACCACGAGAGGACUGUCAAGGAUCAGUCAGUCAUAUACAUGUAUCGUAUCCAAUGCCAAGACCGUUCUGCAGUUAGAGAAGAGAUAUAGAGAAUAUGGAGCACAUUGCAAUUUGAUGUAUUUGGAUGGUGAAAAUUAUGAUAGCUAUGGACAUUUGGAUUAUAACUGGAAUACAAGAUUUCGUCCACAAAACAUGAAUCAUUGAAACACAAAAUACCAUCUAGAAAACAAGAAUUACUGGAAUACAAGAUCCUAUCUAGAGCACAACAAUUAUUGGAACACGGGAUUCUACUUAGAAUGCAAGAAUUAUUGAUUCUAUCCAGAAAACAAGUAUUACUGGAGCACAAGACUUUAGCCUAGAGUCAAGAGUGCUUAUGGGAAUACAAGUUUCUACCUUGAACAACCAAAUGAUAACAACUAUUACUUGAUUGCAUGCAAAUAAAGCGAUCCACAAUACUUUCUCUCCCAAAAAUUAUGACUUCUAAGUGAUGCGGGAAUUAUAAGCAAACAAUGAGCAAACUGAACUCUGAAACCAUUGAAUUUAAUUAGUUAGAUGACAGGAUCCUAUAGCUAAAAAUUUAUCAUGGUCGAAUUCGGAUUCCAUUUCAUGAGGUUCAAUGCUUUAGCAAUGACUGCCCUCUCUUUUUCUCUAGCCUUGCACGGCUGAUGCACUAAGCCAGAAGAGCCACUUGAUUUUUUCUGCAACGCAUCAUCUGUCCCGUAUCCUGUGCCACUAUCUGUUCUACUUUUUAUUAUAUUAUUAUUUCUCCUUCAUAAGCAUCAUGUUUUAAUUCUUUUUUUUGUUUCCUUAAGAUCCAAUAACUAUUAAUUGAGUAAUCUACAAAAUUUAACAAACUCAAAAAAUCAAAAUGCAUAAAAAAUGAGAUUUUUUAUGAAUUUUCUGCUGUAUUUUUUAAAUUUCUAUUAUAUAUUGCUUUGUUGAAUUUGUUGUAUUUAUUUUUUACUUAAUUAAUAGUUAUCAUAUAAAACUUUUAGAUAUUGGAAAUUGUCAAUUUAGUCCUCAUAUUUUAGAAAUUUUUUGUUAGUUCCUCAUAUUUAAAAUUAGCCAAAAUAGUCCCUUAUAUAUAAAAAUUUUGCCCGUUUGAUUCUAGAACUCAUUUUUACUCGAUUUUCUAGUCAAAAAAUGCAUGUUUACCUCAUGUGCCCAUAAUUUUAAAGGCAAAAUAAAAAUAAAGUUUGUUUUCCUUCACAAAAAAAAGACCACCCCUCCCCCUAUUUUCAGCCACUAAAACCCUAUUUCUAAUUCUACAUAACCAAACCCCAAUUCUCAAUAACAAAACUUCAUCAAGGGGACCUUCACAAAAGCUAGGGGUGUGCAAAAUCGAAAAAUUUCGAUUUACCGACCAAAUUCGAAUUGAAUUCGGAAAUUUGAAUUCGGUAAUUCGGAAUGAAAAUCGGAAUUUCGACUUCAAAUUGGUCGAAUUCGGUAACGAAAUUAUUCAAAUCGGAAAUUCUAAUUUCGAAUUCAUAAUUCGAAAUCGAAAUUGAAAUCGGAAUUCGAAAUUCCUAUUUCGAUUUCAAAUAUGUUUUUCAUAUAUAUAUAUAUAUAAUAUAACAUUUAUCUUAUAAUAAUAAUUUUUAUAUUCAUGAAUUCGGUGAAAUCGGAAUUCCUAUUUCGAUUUCAAUUUCGUUUUCACACAUAUAUAUAAUAUUUUUAUAUAUAUGUAAUAUAAUAUUUAUAUAAUAAUAAUAAUAAUAUUUUUUAUAUUCAUGAAUUCGGUGAAAUCGGAAUUUACCGAAUUCCGAAUUGAAUUCGGAAUUGGUGAAUUUGAAAUCGAAAUCGGUCGAAAAUUCUGAUACCAAAAUUCCGAAAAAUUCCGAUUUCAAAGUUCCGAAUUACCGAUUUCAAUUUCGAUUCACACCCCUAACAAAAGCAAUGAAGAAAAGGGCAUAGUGAUCAUAUCGGAAAAGGGUAAAAAUGGUCGAAAAGCAAUAAUAAAUUACAACACACGAUAAUUUCACAAAGAGGGCAGAGAAACAAGGAUAGUAGAGCUUUAAUCCAUCUAACUAUGGUGAGUUUUUCUGCCACUUUGAUAAAUAAAGGGAUGAUAAUGUAAAAUCUCAUCUAAAUAGUGUAAUAUUGUGAUUUGUUGUAUAUAUUAUGUAAUAUUAUAAGGCUAUGUGUGUUAAAAGUUUUGUUGUUAGGAAUUGAGGUUUGGUGGUUGAAAAUUAGAAAUAGGAUUUGGUGGACGAAAAUUGAGAGGGGAAAUCAUGCAUGUGCAUGUGUGUGUGUAUGUGUGUUUUUUUUCUUUUUAAGGGAAACGAAUUUUGUUCCUAUUUUACCUUUGAAAUUAUGGACACGUGGGGUAUGCAUGUAUUUUUUUGGCUGAAAAACUGAGCAAAAAUGAGUUUUAGGGCUAAACGUGCAAAAAUUGUUAUAUCUAAGGAAUUGUUUUGGCUGCUUUUAAAUAAGAAGAACAAAAAAAAUUUAUUGGAAGAAGUGAGAGACCAAUAUGGCAAAUUUUUCUUUAGAUAUUUAUACACCUAACACGUGGUAAUAAAACAAAUUUUAGCUUUAUUAAAUAAAAUUUUAUUCUUGAGUCACUCAAACUUUUUCUAAUUUCUCUGAAACUUUACUCGAAAAUAUCGUUUGGCAUCUUCAUUUGGUUGCUUGCGCUUUAAACAUAUGAAUAGUUUUGCAAUGUGAAAUUAGUAAGAAGAGGAUUGACAAGAAACGAGUGACAGAUUUAAGGUGAGGGCACUGGGGGCACGGUCCUUCACUGUCCCUUAAAUUCUUAUAAUACCUAUAAAAUUUUAAUAUAAUUUCAAGUGUGCCUCAGAUUUUUUUUAUGAGGGAAGUGAAAGAAUUACGUAGUCCUCUAAGUUGGUUCAUGAACUAAUAUUCUAAAAGAAUAUAUGGGCCACAAAGUUCCAUUUGAAAUAAGCUCAAAAAAGGCUUUUCAUUUCAACUUUUUGGUGAUUUUUUUUUUUUUGCUUAAAAAAACUAGAAAAAGAGUAAGUACAAAAUUUUAUUGUUUCUUUUACCCCUACUGAAAAUUUUUUCUGGCUCCUCCACUACAAGAAACUAAUCUCUUUUACGAUGACACUACACAUGAAUAUUUUUGUAAUGCGAAAUUAUCAAGACUGACAAUGGAUUGAUGUCCGACAGUUUUGCUGCAAGAGAGUUUCUUCAAGUUUACCAGAGAUUGUUUGCUGAUUUUUUGCGUCAUGAUCUGGAGAUUUACCGAGUUUUGCCCCUCUUCUAGUGUUAGUUGAUUAAUAAAAGGGUUAUUAUCACUUUACCCCCUUAAUGUUUGGUGCUAUUAUCAAUUUCUCCCUUAACGUUAUCUUUUAGUCACUUUACCCCCAAAACUAAUAGUCAAACUGAACGGAGUUUAUUAAUUAAAAUGAAAAAACAUGUUUAACCCUUAAAAUUAUUAUCACUUUACCCCCAUAAAAUAUAGUGUCAUUAUCAAUUUUUCCCCUAGAGUUAUUUUUUAGGCAAUUCAUCCUACCAUUAAACCAAUUUAGUAAGUUAAAAAACUUUAAAAGAAAAUACCCUCCUCUUUGCAAAAUAAAAAUAAUAAAAAAUUUAGAGUGACUCUUUUCCUUUUUAGUAUCAAGAAAAAAAGUCAAAGUAUUAAUUUCUUUAUUUUUGACAAUUUUAUUAAUAUUGAAAAAAAAUAGAAAGAUGGAGAGGGGGAGGGGGAGGGGGAGAGGAAGAGGGAGAGAGAGAAAGCUCAAUUCUUUUUUUAAAAAUUACAAAUAAGAAAGAAUUAAAUACUUUUAUUAUUUUAAAAUUAUUUCACUUUUUUGUUUAUCACCAAAUUCCAAUGCUAAUCUCGACAACUUUAAAGUAAUAUGAUAAUUUCAGACUUUUCUUUAUUUUUUUUUUGUAAAAUCUAAUUUUUUGUCUCCUUCUUUCCUAUCUCCUUUUCUUUUCCUAGUAUUAAUAAAUGUGAAGAAAAAAGAAAUUUGAGAAAACCCUUUUAUUUUUAUGUUUUCGAUCUCUUAAAGUGAAAAAAAAAAAGAAUAACCAUUCCAACUUUUUUAUUUUGAAUGAUAUAUAAAAGUGGGUAAAUAUAUUUAAAAUUUUUUGACCAUACUAGUUAGAUUAACGAUGAGAUAAAAUGCCUAAAAAAUAAUAUUAGGAACUAAAGUGAUUGUAUCACUAUAAUCUAAACGAAUAAAGUGAUAAUAACAAUGUAGUAAUGCUAUAAAAUAAAAGGAUAUUUUUAUCCAAAAUUUCUUAACAUGUUGAGUUGAAUUACCAAUUGGGAUAAAGUGACUAAAAUAUAACGUUAGAGGGUAAACUGAUAGUAGUGAUAUAGUUUAAGGGGGUAAAGUGAUAAUAACCCUUAAUAAAAUGAUACAUGUGUCCUUGUACCUUGAAAGUAUACAUGCCGGCAUGAUCUUUUCUCCUCAUAAGAGAGAAAAGGAGGUUUUCAGAGUCGAACCAAGGGUUUAAUAGUUGCCAAUGUUCCGAUUAGCAAAGUUGGGUAGGGCGAUAAUAUUGAUACACUUUUUUAGUUAAUUGCAAACUUUUUUAAUUGCCCAUUCUUUUGUGCUUUUUUUUUCUUAUUGAAAAGAAAAAUAUCAGUUAUGAAUAUUCAUAAGUUUGUUUAUAAAGCAAAUUAUCAAAAAUAAUAUUUCACUUGCAUCAUAAACAUAUUUUUUAAUCCACCUUUUUAUAUUUUUAAUCACCUUUUUAUCUCACAUACAUCACAUAAAAAAGUGUUACAGUAAUUAUUUUAAAUAAUAUUUCAAAUAACACUCUAUCCAAACAGCAUUGCAUCUUUUUUUGAAUGUUUUCUAAAAAAGAGGAUAGCAUGUGAGACUCCAACUUUCUCCUUGGUAACUAAAACCUUAGAGCUACAAGCCUACAACAAGUUGUGUUGACUUUAAGUUGGAAACUACAAAUAAUAAUAAUAAUUAAGUGUUUUAUCAAUUAAAUUAUACUUCAUUUGCCAGCAUCUCUGCUUACCAAUGCUUUACUUUGUACAGGGAUUAAGAACAAAUUUUACGAAAGUUAUAGAUCCCUAAUAAAGAGCUUCUUGAAAUCUGAUCAUACCUAAAAUCGUUACCUUAAUAGCAAGGAGGGGAAUGUGGAAGGUAGGCUUAAUGUUACAAAAUUUUUUUUUUUGGGUCAAAAAAAAAUGUCACAAGUUUAAUUUUUUUUCUUAUCAAGAAACUCGAAAUAAAAAAUCAUCCCACUCUCGUCCAAUCCUAAAGAGUCAAGGGGCAUACCACUAUAAAUACACUUACAUCCACAAAAUCAUACACACUUUUGAAAAGACUGAGGGUUAUUUUCAUUUUCGUCGAGGGAGAGUUACAAGCUUGACGAGCAUAUAUUUCCGGCACGCUCCGGAUGUGCCUCGCCAUACCCAACCCUAACCCUACCCAUCAGAAACUAUCGAUUCCCGCUCAAUCCCGGACAAAUCUCCGGGUUCGCGCCAAGAUCGUACACGAGUACGUGCCCGCGGUCCACGUAAGCAAUUACUACUGUACUCGCAAGUAAACCCUUGAAAUAUUUUCUGUUUAAUUUGCAAAAUUUCUCCCAAAGCUUUAGCCCAAAACAAGCAAAAACAAUUGGGUGAAGAGGCAAAUCUCGUUCGUCAGGCUUGGAAUUCUCCCACGAUGGGGUGAAAAUAAAACAUGGAACGCGACCGACUUACCGGAGAGGCGAAAUUGAUCGGAGAAUUUUCCGGCGAGGUGCUCUGAGACAGCUAAUCAGGCACCGGCCUGGUUGUUGGUAGAGUUGGUAAAUUGUCUUUUUUUGUUGAUAAACCCUAAGAAUUUUUUAGGGUUUUCCGAUCACUUACAAAGUCUCCCAAAUGCAAUUUUGCUGUAAUCUGCAUGAUUAGUUUCCUGAAUAUUUAUGUCUCAAUUUUAGAGAACUUCAUUCCUUGCCCUAAUCUCUUGCUUCCAUUUCCUCAUUAAUUGGAGGCUCUAGUCUAAUCAUUUCUCUUGUUUGGGGAUUAAAUUGAGAGAGUAUAAUUCGAGGCCCUAUUCCAACCAAUAAACACUGUCCAUUUGGGGAUUAAGUUUUAGAUAAUUUUUGGUGUAAUGGCUGAGUAUGUAGUUUAUGUUAAGCCUUCCUGAUUAACAGGAAACCGUGAAAUUCGUUAAAGUACUUACCAUGUAUUCCCACAGAUCAUCAAGUUCGAUUCUGAAUUUUGAGUGCCAAUUUAGUGUUUGGUAGAAUGUUAAUAGAGUUUAGACCUAAUUUUCCUUUGUUGGCCAGUAUAAUGUAUUCAGCGAGAGGUAUGUUUCUUCACCUAUUCUUCUUUUUCAUGAUAGAGGAUUUAGUUAGUCUCUCAUUCGUGCAGUCAUUAAUUAUUAAUCAUGAAUGCAUAUACUACGGGGACAGAGCCACAUUAUCUUGAUGGUGUGCUGUUGUUAGACAAGCAAAAGUGCAACAAUAAAGGAUAUUAAAUUUUGUUCAUGAGCAAAAUCUAGGUUUUCCCAAUCCAGGAUAAUAUCCCUAGGACUCAUUCUUGCCCUACCCUUUGAUUAUUUGUGCUGCAUUAUUCUCCUCAGCAAAUUUUGUUUUGUUAAACCAGUAUGAAGCGGAGCUCUAAUCAAUCAUUUCCAUCUUUUCUUCCUAUGCCACUUGGAAUGGUAAGCACACAGAAUUGAGUUUUUGGAAUGAUACCCAAAAUUAAAGCUAAGGAUUUGGCAAUUUAUUGGAGGCAACGGAAGUGAGAAGAGAUUUUUGCAACAGCAUUGGAGCUUGCAUCUGACCACAAUUAGUGGCAUCACUUACUGCAGGAGCUCAGAGAUAUGUGUUUUAUUGUAGAUAAGAAAGAAUAGAGACAGGAUACAGAGUUUACCUUUAAUUUUAGUUCCUUCAAAACAGAUUGCAAGACCCUCAAGUUACAUGAUAGUGUCUUCUUCUUGUUUUUAAGAUUCUUCUUGUUUUAAGAUGUAGGCAGAGAACUAAGAUGAAGAAUAUCAUCAUCAGAUGGGCAAAAUGUCAUAGAUUGGUAGUAAGUCUUAGUUUGGCACUUUGCCUGCCAGAGAUCAACCUCAGAGAUCAAUUUUUACCCAUCUACAAAUACUUUCUCGGCAUGAGUACUUUCCAUUAUGAAGAGUUCUGGUUGACAAUUCCUAUUCUGUAGCUAAUGACAAUUCCUAUCAUCUAUUGGCAUUGGUUUUCUAAUACUUGUUUUUAUUUGUUAGCACAAAGGUGUUUUGUCUUCCCUGAACAAAGUUCUGUGCUAUUCUGACUCUUGAACUUUUUAAUUUGUUUUGAAAGCGUGCUUGCAGUUUUUGGAGUUUAAUUAUGAGAAAAUUGGUUUUGCAUUUGUUGAUGAUUGAGGGUGAUGUUGCAAUUUGGCUUGAAAACAAUAUUUAGUACAGAAUUGUCUUGGGAAGCCUGACUUGUUUAGUAUAAUGACAAUUCCUAAUCAUCUAUUGGUAUUGGUUUUCUAGUACUUGUUUUUAUUUUUUAGCACAGAGGUGUUCUGUCUUCCCUGAAGUUCUAUGCUAUUCUGACUCUUGAACUUUUUAAUUUGUUUUGAAAGUGUGCUAACAGUUUCUGGAGUUUAAUUAUGAGAAAAUUGGUUUUGCAUUUGAUGAAGAUUGAGGGUGAUGUUGCAAUUUGGCUUCAAAAAAGUAUUGAGGACGGAUCCAGCAACUGACACCUUUCCUAGUAAAUCAGUUUUCUUCUCGUAAUGUUCUUCUUGGAUUAGUUGUUCAAGAGUAGUGCGAUUUAAUUUCGGUUCAUUUUGUGCCUUCUUAAAAGGGGAUUCUAAUGCUCACCUCCUUCAUUUCCCCCUUUUGUCUUUCCUUCUGUCCUCCUUUUACUAGUGUAAAAGGUUUAGAAAAGAAUGAAGUAUGAUUUUGGGUUAGCUGCAAAAAUGUCAUAUUCACCUUCAGUAAACAGGGUAUGCAAAUCUCAGAUCUGAAGCAAAAGGUAUUAGCUUCGUCUAAAUAAGAUUAUGGAGAACUUGGAUGCCCUAUCAACUCGCCUUUGGUGAUUUUGCUAGGGAGUUUCCACAAGCGAUCUUCCCCGAGACAGCAGGAGUUUGAUACAUGCCAGGGCAGAAGCUCAAUGUAGCACAUUUGCUGGGCUAUUGUGGUCUUUUUCUUUCUUUUUUUUGUUUGGGGGGGGGGGGGAGGAGAGAUUUCUCCUGCCAAUUCCUUUCCCCCUGCAUACCUAAUUGAGUCGCCCUUAGGGGGAGGUUAGUACUCUUGUGUAUUGUAAUUGAAAUAAAACAGCCUGAGCUGGUUUUACGUUGCUUUAUUUGAGGACGGUGGUUAUGCUAGGAAAGUUUUUAGCCUCUUAUGGAUAAAAAUGAUGACAUAUAAAAUAUUUCUUACCUGCUGUUGCUGGUAACUCUGGUAGGGCAUUCUCCCUGUGAAAAGACCAAGGUGGGGCACUGGUAUAUUGCCUUUGUUGACUACAAGUAUUUUUCCAGGAUAUGAUGCAGGAAAGGUUAAAGCUUUAUUAAAGACUCAUAAUUGUGGCUGGCUGGCUGCUUCCCUCUGGAAUGUUUUAUAUCUCUACCGAAAGUUGAAUUAGCAACGGAUAUUCUUGAAAAAGCUGUGAGACAGUAUGAAUUAUAGAAAACUUUGCUUAUGAAUGAAGUAAUUGUAUUUGGUUAGCUGCAAAUUAGAUUUUCAAAUUAAAAAGCUUUGCUUAUAGAAAACUAUUCCCCCCCCCCCCGGGCGGGCGGCGGGGGAGCGCAGUGCUAUAAUUUUAGUUCUUUCGGAGCUUCGUUUGCUCGUUAUGUGUUACUGCAUUCCCCUCCAGGAGUAAGAAGUUCGCAGUUAGUAGAAG